rnacentral:lncRNA from 1 species
UCAACAUGAAAAAUUAGACUAACGAUGGAAAAUUAGCGUAAAAUUAGACUAACGAUGGAAAAUUGAGUAUACACCACAAAGUCAAUUGCUUCCGUAGCUGCACUUAAACAUGUCACUGCUCAUUAAUCCGAGCAGCUAUUCUCUACUUUUCCGGGUCUAACAAAUGAUGCAUUCUCGUAUUAAUUAAUUUUCUCAUGGAACUAUCAUUCAGCUCAUUUGAUCAUCUUGUCAUGAUGAAAUUAAGUAUUUCAUACAAUCAUGAAACCUUACUAUGUUUCCCUGGUUCGAUUUUUGAUAUAAACAUUUCAUCUCGUAAACAUUCUUUAUUCUUCUAUAUCUUCACAGUAUGCACGAGCAUUGAAGGAGAAAGGAAUAGAAGUUAAUGUGAUGAUGUUUCCUGAUGGCAUACAUGAACUCGACAGGUAAAUGUGUUCCUUCCCCUAAUUCGACGCCUCCCAACCCGAGUGGAUCAUCAACAGUUCUCUACUUACCUUGAAGCGCGACUAAAAUUUCGCGGUCUGACCACGUAGUGACAUCUAAUACCAUGCUUGUACUUAUUUGGCAGACCACAAACGGACUUCGAAAGCUUUCUUAACAUUGGAGUGUGGUUUAAGAAGUACUGCUCAUAAGAUUGCUAGAUAAAUCAGUGUUUCUGCCACAAGAAUGUUAAGAGAUUCAUGAUUAUGUUGAAAACUGGUCUUCCAAGGAAAAGGUCAUAUAUAGUUGACUCUAACUGAUCAAUGAUCAUACUACUAAACUGAAAUGCUUGUAAUAAUCUAUAUAGCAUUUGAAAACUAUAUGUUUAUAUCGCUCCGACUCUUCAAAAAUAUUGCAUAGUGUAUCUAAGUCGAGUGCUUAUAAGCCAAAACUCACGAGUCCGGGUAUCAACUUUGGACUUUUGGCUUAUAAGCGAUUCACUUAGAGUUCGUUUGGUUGGAAAACAAGUUAUCCACGAUUAUUAGUUAUCCCACCCUCAAGGUGGAAUAAAAAUAACACUACAAUUUCGGAAUGAGUUAUCUCCUGCAUUUUGUCCCAACCAAACAUUGAAUAAACUCAUUUCAAAAUUAAUCUCGGAAUUAGUUAUCUCUUAUCCUUUGUACCGAACGAGCCCUUAAAAAUCUUUAACAUAUGAUUUUUGGCUUAUUUUUAUUAUUUUUACUUGAAACCAAUUACUUAAAAGGCAUUUUUUAUUGAUUCAAAAACUGCAAAAAUCUUUAAAGCUAUUUUGGCUUAAAAAUAACUAAAAUAGAUCAAUCCAAAUAAGUUUGCAUAAAGACCCACUUAGAUAAGCUGAAAAGUGCUUAUAACCCGCUUAUAAGCUCAGCCAAAUACACUCGUAGUUUAUUAGAGCUUGGCCACCCAAACAAAAAAGCCAUCUAUCAAGAUCGAACUCACAACCUCCCGAUUAAAAGUCAACUAAAACGGCUUUAAUCGAGGUGUGCCCAACUUGACUUGAAUAUUAUGAAGACAACGAUAGCAUACCCAAUGUAUUUCCACACAGUGGGAUCUGAGGAGAGUAUAAUGUACACAACUUCUAUUACUGCCUAAGAGGUGAGAUAGAGAAUUUGUUUUUGGUAGAUUGUCGGCUAAAGACAAAAUAUAAGCCAAAAAAAAGGUUAAAAAGACAAUAAGGAGUAAUACAACAACAGAUAAUAACAACAAAAAUCUACAAGAAUAGCACUACGACUACUAAUAAUGACAACACUCAUGUCUACUAAUUUGGACACUACUAUUAUUAAAAAAAAAAAAAAAACAUAAUAGCCAACACACUCUUCAAUUUAUUGGAGCUUGGCCACCAAAUAUCAAAACAAUACUCCCUCCAUUUAAAAAAAAAAUGAUCUACUUUGACUUGGCACAAAAUUUAAUAAAAUAAAGAAGACUUUUGAAUUUUGUGGCCUUAAAUUAAAAUUGUGUCAAAUGUACCAAAAUGUUCUUUAAUCAUGUGGUCCUAACAUGCCAUGUGGAAAGUUGAAAUUAAAGUAUUGCAAAAAAAAAGGGUCAUUCUUUUUAAAUGGACUAAAAAGAAAAGUAGUUCAUUCUUUUUUAAACGUAGGGAGUAAUUUAUUGGAGCUUGGCAUGGAAAGGGUAAGUGUCGGCAGUUUAUAUCACUAUCUCGAUCAAAAGGUUGUUGCUAAUACCCCCGAUGCUUGUGAUUAGGAGUGUACAGACCAAACCGUCAAGUCAAACCGAACCGACGAACCAAACCAAAUCGAGAAAAAAAAUCGACUUAUGGUUUGGUUUGAUUGGUUUGGCGUUAGAAAAAAAAAUCCGAUCAUUCUUAGUUUGGUUGGUGUUAACAAAAAAAAAGUCAAACCGAACCCGAAUCAAACCGAAAAGACUAAAAUUGGACACAACAGUAAAAUUAAAACCUUAUCAAUUACAUGCACAAAAGAUGAUAAAAGAAAUAUUCCUAGAGAAAAAAUGCAAUAUUGUCGAAGGCAAAAAUAAUUGAGAAAAUAGUACCUUAAAAAUUUGUGAUGAAGAAUGUUGAAUGACGGUCUUUUAUAUGUAAGAGUUCGGAUCCUCCUCCUUACAUAAAUAUCAGUUGAAUUUUCGUGUUCAUAUCUCAAAUCUAUAUAGUCAAAUUUUUUAAGUAGAUAUUUGAAUUAUAUUUAGUCGAAUUCCUACAUCUACAUUUGUAUGUGGCUCCAUAUCAUCUAAUCUUUAAAUUUAGAUUAUGAAGAUCAAAUAUCCACAUGUAAUUACAAGCAACCAAGACAUUCACAUAUAAACUAAAACCAACUCAAUCAAACUCAACCUUCAAUAGAGGAGGGUACUAUGCAUAAUGUGAUAUUGGUGAAAAUGACUGUACUACAAACAACUUUUUUACUUUGAUUUUGUUUUGUUCUCAUAAAUUAGUAUUACGAUUUUCUUUAACAUAAAUAACAAUUAAUAUGUCUCACUUACAAAUAAUAUGGAUUUCUAUAGUGGUUGAAUUGUACAUAAAAGUUACGAUAUUACGAAAAAUAUGACUCAUAAAUAAAAAAGAAUUUAACUUCUUAUCCUAAUUCGUGACCUUGAUAUAUUUUUUUUUAAAAAAAGAAAAAUGGGAUUGGAAUCUUUUUUAUGCCACGAUAAUCAAAAUUAUGUCACGAUUACACAAAGAAAGUAAAAAACAAAAAAAGAGCAAUAAACCUUUGAUUUUUUACAACUUCAUUCGGCGGCAACAUACUUAUCCAAUUUUUUUAUCAGAAACUUUCAACUAAAAGAGAAACACAAGAAAUUAUCAAAAGAGAGAAUCAAUGUCAACUGUUGAUUAUUAUUCUUCAUAUAUAAUCUUUAAAAGUAUGAUUUAAUAGAAAUAAAUAAAGGCAAAAGGAUGAUGAUAAUGAUAGUAAGAAAAUACGUGAAUCAAAACUAAAAUAAAAAGCAAAAGUACAAUAUAAGAAUUUGUUUCGUAUAAAUUUUAUCCAAAAUAUUACUUAAAUAGAAUUAUAAAGAAUAUUUUUUAUAUAAGGCAAAAUUCUAUUUUUAGAAGUACUAAAUAUUAUCUAGAUUAAAUAAUCAAAAUCAACAAAUAUAUGUUAUUAAAUCCNNNNNNNNNNNNNNNNNNNNNNNNNNNNNNNNNNNNNNNNNNNNNNNNNNNAUUAUGAAGUAAUAAAAAUUUUAAGUUUAUAAGGAUUCUUUCUAUAUAUUUUAGGAGUUAUUAAAUUCUUUUCAUAUAUUUUAGGAGUUUUUAAUCUAAUUAAAUAAUAAAUUGAGAAAAAUAGUAAAAAGACGUUUUUAUCUAUUGCAGUGGCUUCUAAUGAAGGGAAAAAAGUUCAAAUGUCAUUUUUAAGGCCCUUCACACUUUUAAUAAAGUAUAGAUAUAAUAUUCAAACUUUUUUAUACAUAAAAUAUUAAUUAUAAUCUACUUUUUAAAUAUUUUUUCAACUAGUUUUAGUAAUUUUCAAUAAUUUGAAAGUAGAUGUAGAUAUAUAUUUAAAUUUGAGUCUUUAAGUUGUAAUAUUUGUCCAUUAAUUGCUAAUUAAAUGAUCAAAAACCCAAUAUAAACUUAAAACCUAAACUUUUCACCCUUCAUCUCACUUUUUAAUUUUAAGAGAGUUUUUCGCUCCUCAUUUUUUUCAUAAUUAUGAUUUUUCAUUAGCACAUGAGUGAAAAUAUAUUUGAUCUAGUCUUCGAUCACAAUAUAAUUGUAAAAACUAAAUAUUAUUAGAAAAACCCAGGAAAAAUCGAAAAACCCGAAAGACCAACUAAAACCUAAAUUAAAAAAAUCAAUUUUAUGUUGGUUUGAUUUGGUUUAUAGUUUUAAUAAACCGACAUGAUUGGUUUGGUUAUUUUUUUUAAUAAAAAUCGAAUCAACCCGACCUAUGUACAUCCUACUUGUGAUAAUAAACAUAAUAUAUUUCUCUCCAUUUCUUUUUAUAUAAUUUCUAUUUUUCUUCAAACAGUAUAAAUUUUAAUCAAUAUUUUAACAUAAAUACAAUAUUUUUCACAGGAUUUCUGAAUAUUAAUUUUAAAAAAUUAAAUUAAUUAAACUUUGAAACUUAGUCGAAUCACGGUUUAACCAAAAAAAAAAAAGGCACAAUUCCCCAGUUGAUUUUUCCCUCCUUAGCCAUUCAUCUUGUUUACAGUCUUCCUUUCCGCCAUUUUCUCCUGCACUUCCUAAUGCUCAAAAUUCACAUUCAAUGAACUGAAAAAAUGUAUGUAAAGUUUCAGUGUAUUGACAGCAGCAAUUGUUUCCACAUACUAAACUCAACUAAACCCACUACUCCCAGCAUUGGAAUUUCAGUUUCACACACCAAGAAAUACAAGGACAACAACAAAUUCCAUGACCAAGAUGCUAGAAUUGAGAAAAGCAAGAAUCUUGGGGUUAAAUUUAGGCCUGGUUUUGGUUAUGAUAAUGAUGUGAAGGACAAGUUGGAUUGUCAAAUUGGCGAAAACUCCCGUACCCGUGUUUGGAAAAAUGGUGUUUUGAAGACCCAAAAUGGGUUCUUGAGAAAAUCAGUUGGUGAAACUGAGAAAGAGGGGAAAAUUGACGGGAAAUUGGGUGUGCACACCAACUGUUCGAAGAAAUGGCGCAAUGACAAGGAGACCCAAACUGGUUUCUCGAGAAAACUAGCUCAUAAAAAUGAGAUUGAGGGUAAAAUUGGUGGUGUGCAGAUUAAGAGUUCGGCAAAAUGGUGCAAUGACUUGAAGGACACCCAAAAUGGAUUUUUUAGGAAACCAGUUGAUAGAACUGGGAGUAAGAAAAAAGCUGGUGGUCAAUUGAGCUCGGGGAAUGUGGAGGAGAAAGUUGAGACUAAUGAUAGAAUUGAGAAUAAGAAAAGAGUUGGUGGUCAGUUGAGCUUGGGAAAUGUGAUGGAGAAAGUAGAGACUAAGUGUUCAAAAAAAUGGGCAAGAUAUGGAGGAUGCAUUCCUGUUAUGCUGGAAGCUUUGGAGACGGUUAGUAAUUUGGAUGAGGCAUUAAAGCCAUGGGAAAAGAGUUUGACUAAAAAAGAAAGGACUAUUAUAUUGAAGGAGCAGGUGGAGUGGCAACGAGCAAUGGAGAUUUUUGAGUGGUUUAAGAGAAGAGGAUGCCAUGAAUUGAAUGUUAUACAUUAUAAUAUUAUGCUUAGGAUUCUCGGAAAAUCACGGAGGUGGGGUGCGAUUGAGAGGUUGUGGGACGAAAUGAGGGAAAGGAGAGUUGAGCCUAUAAAUUCAACGUACGGGACUCUGAUUGAUGUCUACAGCAAGGGUGGGCGUAGGGAGCAGGCAAUGGAAUGGUUGAAAUUGAUGAAUGAUCGAGGUAUGGUGCCGGAUGAGGUGACAAUGGGAAUUGUUGUUCAGAUGUAUAAAAUGGCGGGGGAGUUUAAGAAAGCAGAAGAGUUUUUGAAAAAGUGGUCUUUAUGCAAAUGUCAAGUGGAGGAAUGUGUAAAUGGUGCACCAAGAAGUGGUAUUAGGGUCAAUGGUUCUUCUGGUUCAAGUGUUUGUUUGAGCUCACAAACCUAUAACAAUUUAAUUGACACUUAUGGGAAAGCAGGGCAAGUGAAAGAAGCAUAUGAGACUUUUCACCAGAUGCUGAGGGAAGGGAUCCCGCCUACAACAGUUACUUUCAAUACAAUGAUUCACAUGUGUGGUAAUAAUGGCCGAAUGGAAGAAGUUGCGUCCUUGAUGAGGAAGAUGGAGGGGCUUCAGUGUCAUCCUGAUACAAGAACAUACAAUAUUCUUAUUUCCCUUCAUGCCAAGCAUGACAACAUAAAAAUGGCUGCCACCUACUUUAAACUUAUGAAAAAUGCUUCGCUAGAGCCAGAUACAGUGACCUAUCGCACUCUUUUGUAUGCAUUUUCUAUAAGAAAUAUGGUCAAUGAAGCAGAGAAGCUCAUUUUGGAGAUGGAUAAGAAAAAUCUACAUAUUGAUGAAUUCACUCAGUCAUCUUUGACUAGGAUGUAUCUUGAAGCGGGGAUGGUAGAAAGGUCCUGGUCCUGGUUCCAGAGGUUUCAUCUCGCAGGACAAAUGUCUUCCGAAUGCUAUUCUGCCAACAUUGAUGCCUUCGGCGAACGUGGCCAUAUUUUGGAAGCUGAGAGAGCUUUUAAUUGCUGCAUGGAGGGAAAAAGACUUACUGUUCUUGAGUUCAAUGUAAUGAUCAAAGCAUAUGGAAUUAGCAAGAAAUACAACGAGGCGUGCUACUUGUUUGAUAGCAUGGAGAAACAUGGCUUAUCUCCUGAUAGAUGCAGUUAUAAUUCACUCAUCCAAAUGUUAGCUGGUGCAGAUCUGCCACUUAAAGCAGCAUCUUAUGCGAGGAAAAUGCAGGAGGCGGGAUUAGUUGAUGAUUGUAUCCCUUAUUGUGCUGUGAUAUCUAGUUUUGUUAAAGUAGGUCAGCUGGAAAUGGCAGUAAGACUAUUCGAUGAAAUGAUCACAGUUGACGUCAAGCCUGAUGUUGUUGUUUAUGGUGUACUGAUAAAUGCCUUUGCUGACAUAGGAAGUGUUAAAGACGCUACAAAAUACCUGGUUGAAAUGAAAAAAUCUGGUUUAGAGGCAAACGCUGUUAUAUACACUUCCUUAAUUAAGUUAUACACCAAGGUUGGGUAUUUGAGAGAAGCACAAGAAACGUAUAAAAUGCUUCAGUCUUUCGAGGCAGGGGCUGAUGUAUAUUCUUCAAAUUGCAUGAUUGACUUGUUCAGCGAGCGCUCUAUGGUUAGACAAGCAGAAGAGAUUUUUGAGCACCUGAAGCAAAAGGGAAAUGCAAAUGAAUUUUCUUAUGCAAUGAUGUUGUGUAUGUACAAGAGAAAUGGAAUGUUUAAGGAAGCCAUUCAAAAUGUCCGGAAAAUGAGAGAACUGGGACUUAUGACUGACUUGUUGAGUUACAACAAUGUGCUUGGAUUGUAUGCAACUGAUGGGAGGUUUAAAGAAGCUUUGGCGACUUACAAAGAAAUGCUUUCUUCUGCCAUCCAACCUGAUGAUUCAACGUUCAAGUCACUUGGAAUUGUUCUUCUUAAAUGCGGUGUUCCAAAGGAGGCUGUCAGUAAGCUGGAAUCUACGAGGAAAAAGGAUCCUCAGAUUGGCAUGCAAAAGUGGGCUUCUGCCCUAUCUUCCGUUAUCAAUGUGCUUGAUACUGACUGUCCUGAUAGAGAAGAUGCCUAGCUCUUUUUAAAAUCUUUAUUGUUUUAAGUUAGGAGAUGAUCUUAUUUACCAUUCUAAAAAAAACAGAUAGGAGAUUGCACCAUGGGGUUGGGUCUACAGAGAUUAAACUUUACACCAUCACUCUCAUGUAUUUUUCAAAAUUUGUAGUUGUAAAUAGAAAUGUAUUCAACCUUUGCCAGAUCUAGGCAUCAUUUAUUAAGUACUUCUCUAGUAGUAUCCUUCAGUCUCAAACUGUGUUAUUGAGUAGAAACCAUUCCAUUAUAAAGGCUCUCUGAAAUAGCACCUUCCUGUACUCCAGAAGCCGCUUACAGCUACCUGGAAUCAUAAAAACCUUAGCUUUAUUUUGUCUUCUAUUUUAUAUCCUUGAUUAAGAAUGUUGAGUUAAAGGUUUGUCACUCGUCAGUAGGGGAUGCCUAGGGAGUUCUCCGGUAUUCAACAGCAAGCUUACACAUAUUACAGCUUUAGUAUAUGGUAUACGCUGGCCUACUAUUUUUAUGUGCUGUAUGACUGAUUCCAAUUUGUCCAUGAAUCUUUUUCUGCAGUUGAUUUAUCUUUGUUUGCAGCGGAUGAUUACUUGGUUGAAUCUUUAGCCGAAAGAAAUUAUAUUAUAUGACCCAAUCACUGUAUUCAGUUGUUGAUCCCAUUGCAUCUACCCUGUUGAAACUGCGGAUGAUCAAUGAUUUUUCACCGUUACUUUCCUUUAUAAGGUAAAUAGGCUUAUUAAAUAUCAAUAAUGGGAAAAUAUUCUGUAUGCUAAUUAGUAUUCAUUAUUCAUUGUUACUUUCGUUCAUUUGAUGUGUAUCCAAGUGUUGGUGCAGCACUUAUGUGACAAAGCAAUAGCAGGUUCCUGUUGUGACGUGCCCUGAAGAUGGAUUCUUCCCUGACCUUUACUGUCUUAAUCUUCUAAAUAAACUUUGGAUUUCUGAUGGAUAUACCAUGAUUUUAUCUUUUGUCUGGGGAAGCACUGAAGUAAUACUUUUAGUGAAUGCGUUGAGGUAGCUAUGGAUAAUGUGACUAAAAUGUUGACUGGCAUUAUGGUGUCACGGAUUUCUUCGAAUUUUCUCUGGACUAAUGAUUGCUUAUUAAUUUAAUAGUGGAAAGGUGUCACACAUUUGUGCUGGAAACUCUAGCUUUUCUUAGAACUUGCUUACACUAGAUGGCAAUAACUUUGUUGCUGGGAAGACUUAAUUUUUCUGUAGACUCGUAUUUAUUUUGAAUUAUUCAUUUUCUUGCUUAUUCUGAUCAAUCCAAUUUUAAUAUUUCUGGUAUUGAUCUGUUUCAAAGUCUGUAGCAGUCCCGCUGGUGUUCCUGAAAUCAAGUAUGGUGGCGCCUUGGUAGGCACUCAUCUGCAGAAGCCUCAUGGUGUUUGGCUUGAUAUUUCAAGUCCCAUAUGUGAUGUUCUGAUUUCUGACUCUCCGCCUUGCCGGAGCAAUUACGCAAUGGUCUCCUUCAUACCGCCUGUGAUACGCCACAAGCGUAUACUGUUCCGAAGGUGGUAUACAGAAAAGGAUAUGAUGGACCUAAGGCGGAUGCUUGGUUAUGUGGUGUAAUUAUCUCUGUAUUUCUUGUAGGAAGUUAGCCAUUCGAUGACAGCAAUUUGCCCAACAUGUACAAAGCUAUUCAUCGUGGUGAAUUUGUGUUUCCAGAUUGGGUUUCAAAGCCAGCUCGGAGGAUAAUAAACCGGCUGCUUAAUCCUAAUCCAGAAACGAGAUAUGGAAUUGAGGAGCUGAUGAAUACUCUAUCGUUUAAGAAAUCAUCAUAAAUGAAACAAGAACAGAUUAUGAAGCAGUUUGGUGAAGGAAAGUAAACACGUGGAGAGAAUGAACGCAUUUGAUAUAAUUUCGAUGGCUUCUGGGUUGGAUUUAUCGGGUUUAUUUGAAGCAUGAUCGAGUAAGAAGGAGUUCAGAUUUACGACGAAUGUUGAAGUAAUGGAAGUUGAAGAGAAGGUGAUGAAUAUGGGUAAAGGUGAAGGAUAUAUAGAGUAGAAAGAAGGAUGAAUGAAGGAAUUGGGCUGAUAAAAGGUAGAUUCGUCUUCUUUUCUUUUAAAUAUUUCAAUUCAAUCUACAAUUUCUUUGGAAGAUUACAUUUGAGCCUAAUAUCUAGAUCCAUAGAAUGUGGAAUAUAGCCUCCAUAGUUUUUCAAAGGUUGAGAUCAAAUUUAGUUUUUAACAUGAAAUGUUUUUUUUACUGUUUUGUCUUGAGUUGUGGGUCUACCAACCUUAAGGAAACAUAGUCUCCAACCCAAGAGGUAAGGUAUGUGUAACUCUACCUCUCUAGACCUUACUUUGUGAGAUUACACUCGGUAUGUUGUUGUUGUUGAAAUGUGUUGGUUAUGAACUAAACUCCCUCGCAAGUGCCAUGUCAUGGAACUUGGGUUCGAUAGUCCUUUUUUUCAGAAGACUGAAAAUGACAAAUUAGAUGAUGUUUCCAUUCUCAACGGAUGCGGAUGCUAAUAAGCUGUGCGAAUCUAAAUUAGUCGGUCUUAGGAAGCAGCAAAUCGAAAAGGUUGGCCAAAUGAGAGCACUCUCUUUUUGAGCCAUUGCUUUCGUGGACUAGAUGAAUAGCUAAUAGUUGCGAGCUAAAUAAGAAACUAACACGAGAGGCGCAAAAAUGAGACAAGUCAGCACAAAAUGGCAUUUAAUAGACAGAAAACUCAUGGCUGCCAUAACAACAGUAAAAAUAUAAUCAAAUAUGUGAUUGGCUGCUUAUAUAUACUUAUAGUUUUAAAAAAAUUUAUCAACUGAAAAGGAUUCAACCAAGUAAAUAAAGAUAAAGAAGUUGCAAAAAGAGGCUUUUUCUACCACUUGAUGAUCAAUACUUGUAACAGCACAGAAAAAACAUAGAUCAACAGCUCAUGGCCACAGAACAACUACUAUAGCUAGUUGAUGGUGUUAUUUCAAUGACAUUAUGUUGCUGCAAAAAUUCUGACAUUAACCAGACAACACUCCAAGAAGUUGCACUGAUACAUCUGGCAGAGAGUCUCGUUUCAAAAUAAGUGUCAUUUUAGCUCAUUCCAAGCUCGUUAAAAAAAAAAGAUAUAAUUUAUUAAGUUACCUUUAUUUGUUAUUUUCUUUAUCCCAUUUUUUGUGAUAUCCUUUCCUUUUUAGUUUGUCUCAAGAGAAUGUUAUCUUACUAUUAUAAUUAGAAAUAAUUUAAUUUUAAAAUUCUUUUUUUACUCUUAAUGAAAUGAUUUACGGCUACACAAAUAAUUAAGUUUCACAAGUGAUCUUUCUGAUUCCACAUUGAUUGUAUCCUCUCGACCCUCCGACACGCCUCCCUCCAUCCCCACGAUCCAACACUCAUACCCCCAGUUCCACCUCCCCAUAUUACUUGGCCAACUUAUAUACAAAGAUUUUUAUGAUAUUAUAUUUUUUUCUCUUACAUACCAAAAAUAAAAAAAUAAAUAAAACAUUUCCAUCAUACCGAACACACUAGGAACACAGAAAAAAAAAGGUGAAAAGAUAGUGAAGUUCAGAUAAAAUGAAUAAAAUGUAUAGAAAUUAAUUAAAAUAAAGUAGUGUGUUCCAAUCAAGAAGCCGUCUUAGCUCAGUGGUAGAGCGCGUGGCUUUUAACCACGUGGUCGUGGGUUCGAUCCCCACAGACGGCGUUUUUCUUUUCUCUUUAUUUUUAUUUUUUUUGGUUUUGAUGAUGUUUUCCUUUAAUUUAAAUCGAAAUGGAAAAAGAAUAUUCAAAACACUAAAUUUUGUAUAACUGCAAAAAAAUAAUUAAUCUUUUUUUUAUCAACUAAAAAACAAAUAAUUUAAGACAGUUAAAUUUAAAAAUCAUGACAAGUAAUUUGAUACUGGAGAGAAUACUAUAUGCUAUAUAUAAGUAUGUUUUUUCUUUUUAUACUCUAUGCUUUUUUUGGGUUUGAUGUUAUUUUGUUAUUGUUCUACUUCCUAGUUGGUAUAUAUUUAAUUAAUUGAAUUGUUUGCUUCUGUUACAUGCCAAAUUUUAUAGUUCAAAAAUAAUUCCUAAAUAUUUGUUCAUAAAUCAUAUUGCUUCAUUUCUAUACACAAUAAAAACUAUUAACGUGGUCGUGGGUUCGAUCCCCACAGACGGCGUUUUUCUUUUCUCUUUAUUUUUAUUUUUUUUGGUUUUGAUGAUGUUUUCCUUUAAUUUAAAUCGAAAUGGAAAAAGAAUAUUCAAAACACUAAAUUUUGUAUAACUGCAAAAAAAUAAUUAAUCUUUUUUUUAUCAACUAAAAAACAAAUAAUUUAAGACAGUUAAAUUUAAAAAUCAUGACAAGUAAUUUGAUACUGGAGAGAAUACUAUAUGCUAUAUAUAAGUAUGUUUUUUCUUUUUAUACUCUAUGCUUUUUUUGGGUUUGAUGUUAUUUUGUUAUUGUUCUACUUCCUAGUUGGUAUAUAUUUAAUUAAUUGAAUUGUUUGCUUCUGUUACAUGCCAAAUUUUAUAGUUCAAAAAUAAUUCCUAAAUAUUUGUUCAUAAAUCAUAUUGCUUCAUUUCUAUACACAAUAAAAACUAUUAAAUAUUAAUGAGUGAUAUUUUUUCCUAGCUCCUUCAAGGGACUGAGCUACGUGGUACUAUGGGUUCAUCUGAACCCUCUUGGGCAAAAUUUACCCUAUACAUUAAAAGUUAAAAUUACUUUUUAUAUAUACAAAUAAAUGUUGAAUCCCUUAAUGUUUUUCUUUAUAUUUUAAACUUAACUAAUAUUCUGAAUCCGCCACUAACUCCUUCAUUUGCGAAAAGAUCCGUUUUUCCUUCCUUUGGUAUAGGUGUUUUGAGGUUUCUAUGAAAUUACACCUGAUGUUAAACACCUGGGAUAUAUGCUAAAAUAAUUAUUAACAACUCAUCAUAGAAUUUAAAAUAAAAAUAAUUAAAAAAAAGUAUAAUAAAUUGAUUAACCUUAUAAGGGUAGCUAUUAAAUGUCUUGAUAUUUAAACAAAAGUUUGGUAAUUUUUUUGAAUUUUAACUAUAUACACUAUUAAUAUUAAAAAAACACUAUUCUAGUUGAUUUUUUGGUCUCCAAAUUUUAGCAUUAGUUUGUUCAUCGAAGGCAAAUUGGUCGUAUGGAGCCAACACAAAAACUAUAUACUAAGUGGAAAUACGCCUUCUUAUUGCACGUAUGGCUCCAUUAUAUAAAAUAAAUAAUCAAUCGUGGUCUCCUUAUUUUAAUUCGUUUGUCCAUUUUUGAGUUAACGUAAAAUUUUAAAAAGUAAUAAAUAAGUAAACCGAAUCUUGUAAUCUUCUGUUAAAAUAUAUAGAAUGUAUAGAAACAUCUUUUUAAUUCUGUGAGUUUAAACUUGUCACGCGAGAUAUUAAAAUUAAAGAGUUAUAAGCAUUCUUCACUUGUGCUAUCCAAUUACAACCAGCGAAUAACUUGUUGGUGGUUUUUAGUAACCAAAUCAUGUAAAUUUUACAUAUAUACCGACAUGUUUACCAUUAAUUACUAAAACUUCCAACAUCUUUCAAAAUUUCCUAAAAUCCCAACAUUUGACCUCUAGUGAUACAAGUUAAUUACAUUAGAUACAUACUGCUGAUACAUGUAUUAAUUAAUUAAGUCAGACAACCUUCCAUAAAAUCAGCAUAAAGCUAACUAAUUAAGGUAAAAAGUAAAAUCAAAUCCCACAAUUAGUGGAAAUCCGUUUAUUACUCCACUUUGUUAAAACAUAAAGUCUCUUUUAAAAAAUUUUUGAAAUUUAAAAAUUCUUCAUUCUUCUUGUUCAGACAAAACAUAAUUUUUUUUUUGUUGAUUUAUUAAUUUCAUUUCUUUGAUAUGAAUAUUUUGGUGUUUUUACGUCAUUUCGGUGUUUAGGUUAACGAAAUCGAUUAUGUUGGUUACAAGAGUGAUGAAAUUGUGGUCAGUGAACAUGUUAGUUACGAAAAACUGAUUUCUACAAUUAAGGCAGAGUUUGAAAUCGACGAAGCAAGGAAAAAAAAUAGAAGCUCGUUACAUUGUAGAAGGUAAUGCUUGUCCAUUUUUGUAGAUACAUGUUGUAAAUUUACUAGAUACAUGUUGAGUAAGUUUCAUUCCGAGAUACAUUUUGUUAUGAAAAUGAUAAAUUCUGGUGUAUCUCGUAUCUCAGUUUAGGAAGUUAUGUUUAAUUUUGUUUCUUGUUGGGUUUUGUGUUCGCAGAUAUAUCAGAAAAUGUAAUAGAUACAUAUAAAUGUCCUAGAUACAUGUUGUAAAAUUUGUAGAUACAUGUUAUACAAGUAUUCAAUGCUGUUAAUGAAUAUAGAAAUCAUUUUUUUUCAUAUUUAUUAAGAAAAACAAUUUAAACUUUUGUUUUGAUUGAUUCAGCUAUGUCCCACAAUGCCGUUCGGAGGAGUGUGUUUGAAUCUUUAAAGCAUCAUGUAGUCGGGGUACAGAAAUUUAAAGCAUCAUGUAUUGGAGAUUGAAAUUGUCGUGAAACAUCAUUUAGAAAUUAAGAAAUAUUGAACUGGUGAUGUUAUUGUAGAUGUUAUGCUCUAGCAAAAGAUUGUAAAGAUUUAUACUUUAAAAUGAUGAAUCAUUUAUACUUUCAACAAGUGUACUCUCAUAUCCUUUAUGGCGUAAUUGCAAUUGAGCAUUCUUUCAAUUAAUAUGUCAAAAGAUCGGAUAAGAGAAGGUAUGUUAAGUUUUUUUUUUUGUUGCAGGUGUUGUUAAUUUUGUGUACGUUAAUUUAAAUUUGUAUUCAAUGUUAUGUUGAUGAUUAUUUUACCGAUUGAUUUUUGUGUUUUUAUGUUAUUAACUCUGAGAUACAUUUUGUUAUGAAAAUGAUACAUUUUCUCAGUUUAUGAAGUCUUUGUUAAUUAUGUUUGUUGUUGGGUGUUAGUUUCACACAUAUAUAUCAAAACUGUCGUAGAUACAUAUAAAUGUUGUAGAUACAUGUUGUAAAUUUACUCGAUAUAUGUUGAGUAAGUUUCAUUCCGAGAUAUAUUUUGUUAUGAAAAUGAUAAAUUCUAGUCAUCUCGUAUCUGAGUUUAGGAAGUUAUGUUUAAUUUUGUUUGUUGUUGUGUUUUAUUUUCGCAUAUAUAUCAAAAAUUAUACUAGAUACAUAUAAAUGUCCUACAUAGAUGUUGUAAAAUUUAUAGAUACAUGUUAUACAAGUAUUCAAUGUUGUUAAUGAAUAUAGAAAUCAGUUAUUUUCAUAUUUAUUAAGAAAAACAAUUUAAAGUUUUGUUUUGAUUGAUUCAGCUAUGUCCUACAAUGUCGUUCGGAGGAUUGUAUUUGGAUCUUUAAAGCAUCAUAUCGUCGGGGUACAGAAAUUUAAAGCAUCAUCCGUUUGGAGAUUGAAAUUGUCGUGAAACAUCAUUUAGAAAUUAAGAAAUAUUGAACUAAUGAUGUUAUUGUAGUUGUUAUGCGGUAGUAAAAGACUAUAAAGAUUUAUACUUUUAUAUGAUGUAUAUUUCCUAAAUUUGUAAAUACAAGUUUGCACAAAAUGUAAUAAUUGUAAAAUAUAAUUGUAUAUUGUAGGGCUAUAAGUUUUGAUAUAAUGUGUUAGUUAGGUUGAAGGUAAACAUGCAUCCUGGGUAAAUAAAAACGGUUAGUGAUACAUAAUAAUGUAAUAUUAUGUUAUUUACAAUUAUAGUAAAAUAUGUAUUUUUUUAACUAGAUACAUUUAAUUUAAUAAAAUCUUUCUCAAUUAUUUUUAUAGAUACAAGUUUAAAUAUUCAUUUCUAUGAUAUAAUAUGUCAUUAGUUUUUUGAUAUAGUACCAUUAAGUUGUGUUGUAAUGUGUUAUGCAUUUAAGAUACAAUAGGUAUUCAUUGGUACAAAAAACUGUUGUAGAUUCUUAAUAAUGUAAUAUUGUGAAGGUUAAUGCCAUUAUAUUCUAAUUUAUGUUUCAUUAUAUUAGAUACAUAUGAUUGUAAAUUAUUAUAAAAUAUGUAUCUAAUACUAUGUCUUUAUAAAGUGGAAGAACAAAGUAUUUCGAUACAUAAAUAUAUCUGAAAUGCUUUAGCAUUGUAUUAUAAUGGGUAACAAAAUAAAAUUAUUUUAUCAUUAAAAAAACAUAAUGUAUGAGUACCUAACAUUACCAACCUCAUCAAAAAUCUUAAACUUUCUAUCAACUUCCUAGUUUUUAUAAUAUCCAACAAGCAAACAAAUAAACAACUACUUAAUAUGCAAAACAAGGUCUGUUUCUUUUGGUGCGAACUUGCUCCUUGGCCUUGGUGGAUCGUCAUUCUCACUAAUCAGUCUUGGCAGAUGCAUCUUGAAUUGCAAGAUCCUUAGCGACGUCUGAAUUGUAGUAAUUCACAUAUGCCUUAUCGAUGUACACUUUGAAAAAAUAAUUUGUGGUAGUGUAUCUGCUGAUUGAAAAAUUCGUGUUCUUUUACUUCUUCCUCAAGUAGUACAUAAUAACAUCCAGAUGUUGUUCAAAUUGUAAUAAAUUGAUUUGUUACAGCAAUCAAUUGUAAUAAGUAGUAAUUAGAUACAAAUUAUUGAUUAUGUAUCUAAUGUAAUAACUUUAUAAACACUGGUAACUGUAAGAUUAACAAAUGAACAACAUAUAUAUCCAUAUCGAAUGAUACUUUUUUUGUUAUUAUGUAUCAAAUUUAAAGUACAUUCGGCUAAAAAACUCCAAUUAUCUUUACAAACAGUAGAGAUGCAAAUCUUACAAAAACAAAUUUCGUUAGCAUGAUGUUUAGCUUAAACAACAAUAGAUACAUUUCAAUAAAUUAACAGUAAGUACCAGAUACAAGUUAAUACAACAUGUAUCUAUUAAGUAAUAACUUGUAUCUCUUACAAUAAAACUUUUAGUAAAAUUUAAACAUAAAUAGAUACUUAUCAAAGCAUUAAGAAGAACUCAAAGAUACAAGUCAACAUAACAUGUAUCUAUUAAAAAAUUUGUAUCUUUUGUUAACAGUUGUACCAGAUACAAGUUAACAUAAAAUGUAUCCAUGAAGUCACAACUUGUAUGUCUUAUAAUAUAAUUUUCAGUCAACUUUAAACACCAAUAGAUACAUAUCAAAGCAUUAACAACAACUCACAGACACAAGACAACAUAACAUGUAUCUAAUGACAAGAAACUUGUAUCUUUUUGUUAUAUUAAUUACAAUAUCAAAAUAAAUCACAAGAUGCAUAUAAAUUAUUAGCAACAAAGAAUCAGAUAAAAAAUGAAUUUUCAAACGUAUCAUCCAUCACAAAAUAUGUAUCUCAACCUAAUAUUGAACAAAUCUGUACAUGCAAUUACCUUAGGAAGCUCAUCUCUACAAAUUUUUUCGACAGCUCUUCUUCUCUUGACGGGAGUUUUACUUGCAGGACUGUUGGGUCCUGUUUUCUUAGAACCACUUUCUUUUUUCUUGUCCUUCUUAGCAAGCUUUUGACGUAAUUUCUUCAUAGUUUUGGGAUCGUUUCUAUGUUUUAACCUAUUUUCAUGAAAACCAUCAAUUUCAGAGUUCAAAACCUCCCGAAACGAAGUUUACAACUUCAUGAGAUUCUUUGAUACUCUUUAAUUGAGAAACCCCAAGACUAAUAGAAGAUUCAAACUCUCUAUUCAUGCUGAUAAUUCAAACAGUGAAGCAUAAAAAAGUGAAAUUGAAGAAAUCUAACUACGAAAAGACAGAACUUUCAGAUAGCUUUACUUGCGGCAAAUAAUUUUUUUGAAAAAAUAAAAAUGAAUUGAAUAAAUUGAAACCGAAUUUAUGGGGGCGGAGGGGGGGGGGGAUUUUUAAAUCAAAUGGAGAAGAUGAUAGAAAAUGGUCAGAUUUUGCGCCGUUCAAAGAGGAGAUUUGGAGUCUUUUUGAUAAAAAGAGGUUUUUUAGUUGUAGGUUAACUUGUAUCUGAAAGGUCGUAAAAAAUAUGAAAUGUGGGAUUUAAGUAAUUUUUAAGAAGUGGAGGACUUUUUAAAAGUUUAGAUAGUUAUGUUGUUGUUUUAGGUAAUUUUUCCUCAAAUCAUUGCACAAUAGGCAUUAGGAAGUAAUUGUCGGGUUCAACUGGAAUAUACAGAGGGGAUAUUCUAAUUAUGCUAUUGAUAAAUGGUGUCAAAUUUAGAAUUAUUAAUAUUUCAAAUGGAAAGUGUAAAGUAAAUUAUUACUAAAUUUAGAAAUGUGGAUUCUGUAAGGAUUGAAAAUUAAAGUAUUUUCUGAAUUCACUACGUUUAAAUGAUUAAAUGAUAGUACUUAUAUAAGAUUGAUGAACUAAUAGAUCACUAUAGAUAAUUCAAGGAGACGGAGGGAAAGACUAUAAAAAGCUAUAGAGGUCAUAUAAUAAAUAGGUGUAAGCCCUUUUUAUCUUUGUCUAUGAGUAUAGCAAUUCGAAAUAUUGAUGAUGUUAGAAGAUGAUCAACGACAUCUAUUGGUCAGAGGGAUGAUUUCUGCUGUUGGAUCCAACAAGUAGGGGUAAUGAACUGGAUUGCAAUAAUUUAUUUAUCUUUGUUUACAGCUUGAUAGACCCACUUGGUUGAACCUUUUUUAAGUGGAAAAAGUAGAAGUUACCACUACUAUAUGCACCCAAUCACAUAUAUUCAAUUUUUGGUCUUUGUAUCUACCUUAUUGGAAAUACUACUCAUACACUCUGGGGGGGGGGGGGGGCCCAAAGAUAUAUUUACUGCUAUCAUAGCAGCCAUUAGUUUUCUGUUUGUUGUCAUUUUGUGUUAUGUUGUCUAUGUGCUGACUCCCUGGCUAUGUUUUAAACUUGGUUAAUAGAACCUGACACAAGGAAAACUCUGGAGAAACUCAACAAGUUGAAGGUUUUCUUUAGUUUGUCUUCAUCUCACUCACCUAAUCAAUUGAUCUGAUCUUUAAAGUUAAUUUAAAUUAAAUUACUUUUACUGUUUAAAAGUUAUAUGAAACAUAGUAUAAGGCGCAAUCAUUUUUAUAUAUUCUCCCCAUCUUAAAAUAUUGGAAGUUGACGACUCCAAGCGGCAAGUCUGAGCUAGCCGAGGUGUGUGUUGUUCUCCCUGUGGUAAAUCGAAGAAUGCUCAUGUUGCUCGGACUGAAUCCACUGUAUCCAACCAAUCAACUUUUCUCUUUAUUUGAGAUUAGAUACAAUUACUUUCUUUUCAUCAAUAUCAAGAGAGUAAGCACACAUUAGCUUCUGUUGCUCAGACAAAUAAUCAUGUUGCUUAUAUCUCUGCGUCCACUGCACUUGGCCAUUGGGUCAUGGACUCAAGCACUUUCGACUACAUUUAUUGGGUCAUGGACUCAAGCACUUUCGACUACAUUUCCAACUUAGUCUCGUCCUAACACGCUUAACUUAAGACAAUUAGUGAGAUUGAAUCAAAGUUCAUGCAUUUUAAUUUUCAUUAAGUAAAACAUGACAAGAAAAAAAAGGAACGUAUGAAGAUUGCUCAAAACUCUAAAUCAAACUGAAAUACGGAGUACUAUUAAGACAGAAAUGAUCAAAGUAUAUGCUCAACUAAACUUAGAAACUCAUUUCCAUAUUCAUUUACAUCAAUCAAAAAACACUAACAAGAACUAAAUAGCACAAGGCAAGCCUAAUUUACUGCCUACAACCUCCAGCCGCCGCCGGCCGGCUGCGUCCACCACCGUAAAGGGGACUCAAACUCCUCCGCUACCGUCCCCCACCAAAAUCACAACCACCCACCACCACCUAUCCUCUUUAAGACCCAUCACUGUACCAUGAAACAACUAUGUCUUUCAAUCCAAUUUUCAAUUCUUCCCAUUCACAAUCCUCAAAUUCUUGUCCUCCAUUAACAACCUUAAACUCCACUAACCACAACAACUUUGCUACCUCAAAAAUCUCCAUUAACAAAACGACUCUACCUUUCACCAAUCCAAUUCCCCCAUUCUUCCUUCUUUCCACUCUAUACCCUUCACCUUUACCAAUAGUCAUCACCUUCUCUUCAACUUCGUCUACUUCUACAUUCGUUGUAAACCUCAACUCUUUCUUAUUCGAUCUUGCUUCAAAUAACCCGGACAAAUCCAACCCAGAGGACAUCGAAAUUAGAUCAAACGCGUUCAUUCUCUCCAUGUGUUUACCUUCCUUCUCCAAAAUCCCUUCACCAAAUUGCUUCGUGCUCUGUUCUUGUUUCAUUGAUGACGAUUUCUGAAACCAUAGAGUAUUCAUCAGCUCCUCAAUUCCAUAUCUAGUUUCUGGAUUCGGAUCAAGCAGCCGGCUUAUUAUCCUCCGUGCUGGCUUUGAAACCCAAUCUGGAAAAACAAAUUCUCGACGAUGAAUAGCUUUGUACAUGGUGGGCAAAUUGCUAUCAUCGAAUGGCAAUCUUCCUGCAAGAAACACAAACAGAAUAACACCACAUGACCACGCAUCCGCCUUAGCUCCAUCGUAACCCUUUCUGUACACCACCUCCGGGGCAGUAUACGCAGGCGUACCACACGCAGUGUGUAGCAGCCCAUUGCGUAACUGCUCCGGCAAUGCUGAGAGCCCGAAAUCAGAGAUCUUAAGGUGUCCAUCUUUGUCGAGAAGUAAAUUCUGAGGCUUCACAUCACGAUGUGCAACGCCGUUCUGAUGACAAAACUGUAAAGCAGAUACCAACUGAUGAAAAUAAAACCGAGCUGUUGAUUCAGAAAACCUACCACCACGACGGUUUAGCUUCGUAAAAAGCUCACCGCCAUGUGCUAAUUCCAUUACAAAGUAUAUCUUAGUUUUUGUUGCCAUGACUUCGUGGAGUUUAAGGAUGUUGGGGUGGUGAUUAAGACGACGCAUAGCGGAUACCUCUCGGAUUAUACGAGGCUCCAUAGAAGCAUCAAGGGUAGUUAUGUCCUUGUUUAUUACCUUAACGGCAAAUUCAACGUUGUCCUCCAAAGAACGGGCUAAGUAGACUUUAGCAAAGCUACCACGACCUAAAAGACGACCUAAUUGGUAUUUUCCAAGAAUUAUUGAACCCGAUCCACUCCCAUCGGAGCUGGUGGUUCGUCGGAUUUUGACGGUGGAAGGCGGUGGUUGGGGGUGUUUAACGUUCAUGCCGGCGACGGCAAAGGCGGCGGAGAAGGGAGGAGAAGAAGUGGCAGAAGUAAAUGAAUGGGCAAGUAGAAAAAGGGGUGAAAGGUUGGGUUAUAUAGGAAAGAUUAGUUGGCUGUAUCUAAUCUGUCAUUUUUUAAUAUUUUUGGAGUCUUAUUAAAAUUGGGGUUUACAGAUUUUUAUUAAUUUUUCACUAAUAAUUUAGGAUUAGGACUUAGGAGUGUACAAGUACGACUAUAGAAAAUUACUUAGAAUUUAUUUGAAAAACGUGUUUUUCAAAUAUAGUUUGUAAAUCAGGUCGACUGCCUCCUUUUCUUUCGCCCAAGUGAAUCUCGAUCUUGUUUGAGUGGUUGUUCUAUAUUGUUUUGUAAUAUCUAUUAUUGUGCUAUAGUGUAUAAUUGUUAGAGUUUGUGAUUUGAAUUUUGUAAAUUCGGUCCUGAAAAGUUCACGUUGCAAUUUAUAUUUUUGUGAUUUUUUAUGAGGUCUGUGAUGGUAGUGUAUCCGGAGCCCACCACUGAUCCAGUUGGGGGUGCGGGGGCGAAGCUCCACGGUAUGGACUUGUAUGUUUUGGGGCUUAUGAUUUAUUUGUAUUCAUGUGUUAUAUAAGUGCAUUUAGUGGCUCGUUUUGGACGUUCAGAAAAUACGUCAUUCUUCUCAUUGUAUUCUCCAACAAUUAUAGUGAAAUACCUCCGUUUUUGCUCAUGAUUUUUCCCGUCAAGAAUUUCCAAGUAAAUCUGCGUGUUCAUUUUGUUUUUCUUUUUGCUUGUGAUUUGCUUAUUCUGUCCGAUCAUAAUAAUAAUAUUAUAUUAAUAAAUAUAAUGUUUUUCAACGUUAUUAAUAGCAGGUAACAAUAAAUUUAGAUAUAUCAUUUUAACCGUUAAACCAUAUAUGAUCUAUUGAUUGUCAGGUAAUUUUUGUCAUUAGCAAUUAUCUAACAAUCAAUUUAACUUAUGAUACAAACAAUCUUUAGAUAAACAAUCAAAAUAAACACUAUAAUUAAAAUUAACAAUGUUAUACUAUACGAUAACCAUCCAAACAAGUUGCUAAAAGUAACAAAUAUAUAUAUGCAAGAUAUACAUGUGAAUUUUUUUUUUUCAUUUUAGAAAAGUCAAUAGGUAAGAGAAAAGAUACCAAAUUUAGUCUUGGUAUAACUUAUUUUAUUCUAUUAUGAAAUUAUUUUACACCAUCUUUGGAUAUAAAAUAGUUUAGAAACUAUAAUCUCAAAAUAAUUUAGUCUAUGUACCAAAUAAAUAAUUAUAUUUGUGUUUAUUGUUUACCACAAAAUAUCGUAAUUAGAGGUUUCAAAUUCGAAUUUUUUAGAAUAAAAUAUUCUCAUAAUUAAAUUAAAAAUUAACUGAGAAGGUUUAAAUAUGUGAAGAGGAGAUGACCAGAUGCCUCAGUGUGAAUGUGUGAAAGGCUGAUUAUGGAUAAUUUCAAAAAAGAAAAAAUAAAUCGAAGAAAUAAUUAGAAAGAACAUGACACAAUUCAACUUAUCAAAAAUAUAACUUUAAAUAGGAGACCGUGAAACACACGAAUUAGGAUAUAAAUCAAAUAGGCAGAAAUGGAUUGUUUUUUGCCACCCUAACUAGUAGUUGUAGUAUUGAUCACAUAAUUGCAUGUCCUUUGAUUUUUUUUAACUAUUUGUUAUUUUUGUGUGCUUUUACUGUCAUUUUAUUUUAUUGUCGUUAUUAUUUGUUGUCUUGUAUUAUAUAAUCUUGUACUCCUAUUACGUAUUUUUUUUGAAACUAUUUUUCUAGAGUCAAGAGUUAAUAGAAAAUAACAUCUCUACUCGAAGUUAGAAGUGGGAUAUGCAUAUACUCUACCCUCUCUUACGUGAACUUUACCCUCCACAAAUUUAACUUUGUGGAUCAUGCUGAGUAUUAUUACUGUUAUAGAUUUAAAAAUGAAUACUUGUAUUAUUAUUUAAGAAAUCAAGUAUCUAAGUUUGUCAUUAAAUUGUUACUUAAAAGUGUAACUAAAAUAACUAAAAUUUUAAAUUGAAAAUAAAAUAAAAUGCUUCCAUAUUGUUUCAAAAUCAAGUAUAUAAAUUCAUAACUAAAUGUGUCAUAAAUAUUUUUAUAUAUGAAAAAAUGUACUCUCUUUAUCCUAAUCUGUAUGACAUUUUUUUCUAUUAAUCUGUAAUAAAUAUUUAACGUAUUCAUAUAUUUAGAAGUAAAUUAAUUGUAAGUUUUUUAUUUUAUUUUUGUAAGAUGAUUUAAAGUCACAUAAAUAUUUUUAUCUCUUUAAAAUCAAUAUUUUAAAAAAAAAAGUUAUUUCUAGUCAAACAACAUCAUAAAAAUUGAAAUAAAUAAAACAAUCAAUAAUAUCACUUGUGUAGUUUCAAAUUAUGCAACAUUUAUUAUUGAAAGUUAUGUUCAAUUUUACAAUAAAAAGAUAUAUAUAUAUAUAUAUAUAUAUAUAUAUAUAUAUGCAUGAAUCUAUUUACACUUAAUAUAUGAAUCUUAAUUAUUAGAAUCACAAUCGUUACGUAUUUCUAUUUUUUUUAGGUAUAAAUAUGAAUUGUUAAAUAUAUUUGACUUUUUCAAUUUAUAAUUUAUAAUAAAAUCGUUAUUUAAUUAAGAUGCAAUCGGUAAACAAAAUCUGUAAAUAUGACAUUUCAGUUACUUCUAUCCCACCAUUACUGUCAUAUAUAGUCACAACCCUCAUUAUUGUCAAUCGCCACAAUUAGAAUUAUAUCAUUAACCAUCUUUUUAUGAUUAGAACAAAAUCACUAAUAUUACUACAACAAAUAUUAAUCACUAUAAACAAUCACCACCAUCUCUCAACACCAUAUAUGAAUAACUAUCACAAUCUUUUUUUUAUCAGUAUCAUUUAUCAUAAUUAUCAGUCAACAUAAUACUAUUAUCGUUCAUCAUCUCUACAGCUAGGCUACUGCAUAUUCACAACCGUUAUUCACUAUCAACCAACCACCGAUGUUAGCUAUCGUCAUUUAAAAAUUUUCAUCGACAUAAUAUUAGUUCAAUUAGUGUUUAUAUAAAUUUUAUAUUUAUUAAUUUUGUAAAUAAAGACAAAUUUUAUUAUUCAGAUAUUUCAGGUAGCUCACGUUUAAAGAGAUUAAAAGUUAACUUGUCUUCAUUAUGAACCUGCCAAACUUUGUUCUUAAGCUAAUUAAACGAAUAUAUAAGCGAUGAAUCAUCACGCCUGUAGGAAGAUGGCAAGAGUCACGCAAGAAUAAAUAGGGAGGGUUAAACUGUCCUUAUUAUGAUCAUUUUGGACUCUUUACUUUUUUUAGUUUUCAUUGAGUUUAAUGGUCAUUUGAUGCGUGAGAUAAGAAUAUUUUUUUUAGAAUAAGAUUUGAAAUUUGUGUUGUUUAUCCUAAUUUGGGAAAAAUAACAUAUACAUGUAUCUUAACUUAUCAUAUUUACAUAAAUUCUCUCCCGUAAUUGCGAAAAAUUCAACUAAUUAUGUAUGUUCAUUGGAUAUAUCGGGAGAUAAUUAUGUAUCUCACAGACCCAAAAUCGAAAAAAAAAUAUAUAACGAGCUAAUUAUGUAUCUUUACAAAGGAAAAAAUAUAUUUUUGCUGAAUGUCUUAUGUAUCUCGACAGAGCCAAAAUCGAAAAAAAUGUAUCGAGGGCACAAAGGAAAAAAAUGUAUCUUCGUUGGAUGUAUCGGAAGCUAAUUAUGUAUCUCGACAAACCCAAAAUUGAGAUUUUCAAUAAUUACGCAAAAUGUCAAAAUUUUCUAUAACUAAGCUCCAAAGUGUUGGAAUUUGUGUUGUUUGCCCAAUAAUUUUACUUCUAUUUAAUUUGAAAUAUUAGCUAAUUUUAAAAUUAUUGUAUCCCACUAUUUAUAGAGGAAAAUUACUAUUCCACAUAAAAGAUAAUUAUAUUUUUGGUUAUCUCAUCUCGCAUGCUAAAACUAUUUCUAUUCUGCCACGAAUAAUAAUCAUGAGUUUACAAGCGUGACAAAAAUGGCCGUUCUUUAUUAUUUUCCAAAAUACGUGUUAUAAGGGUUUUUCGUUUAAUUUCUCUGAACUAAUAGGGAGAAAUAUAUGUUUUUUCAAACUUCCCAAUUAAUUAACUUUUGUUAUAGUAUUAAGUAAAGGCAGUAUAAUCCUAAAAAUAUUUGCAAAUAAUCUAGUUAGACAAAUAUUAUUGGAGGUGCGAGUGGAGCUAGCGAGGUGUGGAAUAGUGAAAUUUAUUUUCUCUAUUUUCACAAAGGUAAUUAAGUUCGUUUUUAUGGAACUUGUUUUUUUAUACAAAAAAAAAAUUUAAUCAACUGAACUAAGGAAAAAUUAGAAAAUCAAACAAACCAAAAGUUUAAGCAACAAUAAUUACUGCGUUGGUCCAAAUUCGUCCAUAUAAUAUGAUACAUUCUUUAAUGUUUUAGACAUUAUUUCAUGGUUGAGUAAGUUUCUCAUAGAAUUUAAUUAAUCAUUCUAGCAAAUGAGAGGGUGCACAAUUUCGUUUUUCUUUCUUUACGUCAAGUAGAUAUAUUCUAACAUCAUGUAAAUGAUGAUAUCAUGAUAAAAGCACAACGCAAUAGGAUUAAUUUUAGUUAAACUCAUCUUCUAACUUUAGAGAAUAUUCAAAAUAGGACAACGUUUUAGAAUUAAAAGUGUAAUUUAUAACGAAAAUACUGUUUUACAAGAUCUACGAUUAACAGCGAUCAACAUAAAGCAUGAUUAGUUCCACAGAUGUUACUACACUAACCACAAUAAACUCCUUCUUUGUUGUACCGAAAUAGAGGUCGCAAUAGGAUUAAUUUUAGUUUAACUCUUUUGAUAAUAUUCAAAAUAAGACGACGUUUCAGACUUAAAAGUGUAAUUUAUAACGAUAACAUUGUCUUACAAAAUCUACGAUUAAUGUUUAUACAAGCCGAUCAAUUGAUACCAUCUAUAACAUGUUGCAAAAUUGUUUUCUACAAAUCGUAAUUCGUAAGUGUUGAUAAGAGAUCAUUUCUUUUCACACGGACUAUAGAAAAUGUUUUACAGUACUAAAUUGUGAUUAAAAGCAACCUUCACUUGUAUGAUUUGUCCCUUUGGGAUUAUACGAAUAACAAUUUAAUUAAUUUAAUGAAAAAUUAAUGAGGCACUAUAUAUUUGACGGUGCCAAAACCUUUCAAAGAUUAAUCAAUUAUGUAGCAUAAUUUCAAAGAUUCUUGAAAAAAUUCCAUUAAUUGGAGCUAGCAAAAUGUUACUUUCUUAUUGUCAAAAUCAUUUUAUCAAUGAAAAAGGUGUACAUUCUUAAAGAAAAAGAAUUGACCAGUUAUUUUAGUAAUAAAAGUACACAUGUUGAAAUUAUUAAUCAUAUCUCUUUGCCAACUUUUUCUCUUCAAAUCUGAUAUGGUUUUAUCAAGAAUGUAAUGGUUAAUUUCCCCCAAAAUUUGACAACAAAAAAUAAAAGCUAUAGUUGUAUUAAAUCAUUCUCAUCUCCACUAUAAAUUAAUUAUUAAACUUAGACGGUAUACCUUUUUUCUGAUUAUUUAAAGCUGUCAAUUCUCCUUUUCAUCGAUUAAUUAAUUAAGUACAACAUAUCUUUUGGUUUAAACAAUUAUUUUACUUUAUUUUCUUAUUGUCCCACCCCCAAUAGCUGAAGGAAUUUGAUUGAAAGUUGAAGACAGAUAAGAAAAGAUACGCAAAUUGCAAAGGAACACCUUUACAAAGUGACGAGAGUGAUGAACCACCUUUGCAUGGCAUAUAUAUUAAAAAAAUAUUGUUCCCUAAUACUUAUCAAUUAGGGUUUUCAUUUUAGUUGAGUACACUGCAACCAAGAAUUUUCAUGUACAGAAUAUGGAUGUUCUCGAAAUGAGGAUAUUGAAAUGAAUGUGUGGUAUAUCAGGAAUGAUAAGAUUAUAGAUGAGGAUAUUUGAAAUAAGGUGGGACUAGUGGCCUUCGUGGUGGACAAAAAUAGGGAAGCGAGAUUGAAAUAAUUUGGACAUAUAAAGAGAAGAUGUGUCACUCCCCGGUAAGGAGAUGCGUGAGGUUGGAUAUAAUAGGUAAGAGGGGAUGUAGGGAUAGGCCGAGAAGCAUUAGGAAGAGGUGAUUAGAUAUGGCAUAACAUAGAUCGGAGGACGUGGAGGACACGUAUUAGGAUAGAAGUUUAGUAGGUAGCAGAGUAGUGUCAUCUUACUUUUUCGAGUGUUUAGGGAUCAGUUGUGUUUGUUGUUGUACUAAUCUUAUUCUUGUAGUUCGUGCUCUAGUCUAGGUACCCAUCAUUAUGUGUUGUUUUGUUGUUGUUUUUGUUUCUUUCUUGUAGACUUGCAUUAGUUUUUUUAUUAGUUGUUAUAUUUCCUUCAUUGUUCCCGUUAUUUAUGCAUGAAUUUGUUUUAUUUGAGCCGAUGAUCAGUGAUAUGAGUUGUAUAUACUCUACCCUCUUCAUACCCUAUUUAUGAAUUUUACUGAACAUGCUAUUAUAGUACACCACAAACAAGAUAUACUAAACAUGAUUUUAAGCAACUAGUAGUAUAUAUAAUCAUUGUUCACUCUGCUAUUGAGGUACAAGAGAGAUCAAUCUCAUAAAUUUCAAUUUCUAUUUUCAGAUACUGAUGAUCAAUAUGAGCUCGAAGCUUCCUUCCUAACUCUCAGAACUUAUGAUCUGUAGGAAAAUCUCAAGGUGGCUCGAUUUCAUCUAUUAACUAUAUUUCAGUUCCAUUUAUUGAAUAAAAACUUUGGUGCCAUUGACAUAAGGAAUCUUUAUAUUGCUUCUCUAUAUAGGAAAAUUUCAAAAAUCUUCAUAGAUUGGAUUUAGAAAUUAAAAGCGAAAAAAAAAAAUAAGGGAGGUGUGUGAUGAAUUUUAAAUCUUUUCUUGUAGAUAAUUAGUACUCUUAUGCAUGAAAUAAAUUAAUUCGAUCAUUGUGGUCGGAUUUUCUAUUAUAAAUUUUUGUCAAUGCGCUCGAGGCCUUUCGAGUUUUUUUUUUUUUGGUUUCCCAUUCGGUGUUUGGUACCCGCAUUGGAGCCCGACUAAUCUGGAUUCGCGUCGGGUAGGGCCCCAUUUGGGGGUAGCACUCCCAACAGAGUUUUCUCCAUGUCCAGAGUCGAAUUCGAGUUACUUUGAUUGAUUCACUGGGCAUAGAUUAACACACAAGUGGCUCAAGGAUAAGCUAACAAGUAAAACCUUUGUUUUAAUCCAUCAAAAUUUUGAGGCCUCGAAAAUUUAAUAGUAAAUUUUAUCAUUUCAACUUCACUUGAAAUAAUAAUGAAGAUUUUGAAAUACGUUUAAAAAAUUAUCUAAAAGAAAAAAAAAGGAAAAAGUUAUCUAAUUGUUAUCACGAAUAAUUUAGAAUUUUAAAUUAAACAACUCAAACUUCAUAUUAAUAAAUAAAGUUUUAACAAUAACAUCCAAGUUAAUGUAUUGGAAACAAAUGGCUAACAUUUUAUUAACUAGAAUUAAUCUUUACUUUUAUUAAUAAUGAUAUUAAUAUGUGAAAAAUGUUAUGUGUCUUUUAAAAAUAGUACAUCAAAAAUGACUAAUAUGCAAGAACAAAAAAAAAACUCUAAAUUAUUACAAUAUUAUUUUAUAUGUAUGUAUAUAGAUUUAAGAUAUUUUAUUACAAUAUGACUUUAAAGUUUAAACCACUAAUUUUAUUGAGACGUGUUUGAUUAACUAAGUCAAUAUAUAUUUUUGACUACACAUCAAUAUAUAUUUUUGGCUACACAUAUCCGCCUUUUUGUUUUUAUGUGAUAUUGCUGGAUGUCAUUAAAAGUAUUCCCAAUAAAUAACAAGUAUGCUAACAAUGGUGUUAUAGCUUUUAUCUUAUACGUGAGUCAAGAUGCAUUGCAUAUUUAUAUUUUGUCCAUGCAUAUUCUUGUUUACUUUAUACGUUGCAUUUUAUUUGAUUCUUGUUGAUAUAUCACACCAGUUAAGAAAUUACUUUAGUAAAUUAUUUCCCGCCUUAUUUUCUCGCAUUAGGAAAAACAUGUACCCACUAAAAUAUUGGAAGUGUUCUAAUUUUUUUUAAUGAGAACACUAUUACCUUUUUAUUUUUCACUAAUUCAAUCAAAGUAUGAUCGAAAAAUUUUAAUGGAAAAAGUGAUUUCUUGAUAUAUUUGCACCUAAAGGAGGUCUGAAUCUGAAUGGUUCAGAAUUCAAACCAUUAAGUGUAUUUGUUUUUUAUUAAGAUUUUAACUUUUAGUAAUCUGAAUAGGUCUUAAUCAUUCAGAUUUAGAAUCAAGUCUUAAUAGUCUGAAAAGAUAUUCUAGUGUUUGAUAAUACUCAUCACUUUACUCAUAAUCAGCAGUCACCACCACUAACCACCUCUGGCACCGCUACCAUUGUCAACCAUCACCCACCACCAACAACUACAUCUAGCAUCACAACCACCAUCAACAACAAAUAUUACUACCAACUACUAUUGUAAACUGCUACCACUCCUACUAUCUCUAUUAUUCUAUUAUAUUCACCGUCACCACCACCAUCGACAGCACCACCAUCAUCAAUUACUACCGGUCAAUCCCUACUACCGAUCAACUAAUCCAUCACAACUAGAACCACCACUAUCACUAAUACAUCACAACAUCCACACAUUCUUCGGCUGCCACCAUCAUUAUCACUAGUAACGCCAUCUCUACCAUCACUUCAACCACUAUCAUCGCUACAAUUUAUCUCUACUAACAACCAUCUGCACCAUCCCAACAAACAACAUCUCCAACUACCACCAACACAUCAUCAAACAUCAUACAUUCAUGUUUCAGCCAACACAUGAAUCAACAAGUCAAACUAUUAAUAUCAAUCAACGUGACAUCACAACCACCACCAUCACCAUCAAUCGCUACCAUCAUAACAGUUACUACAAUACCAGCCAUCACAACUAUCACCACCAACAUUAUUUAUCACUAACAUCAAUCAUUGUCACCACAACCACCACACUAUCACUAACAAACAUAAAUAUUUUUUCUCAAUCAAAUAAUAAUUUUGUUGUAUUAAAUUACAUACUUUUAUUAUAUAUAAUUAUUAUUUUUUUGAAUUGUAUGUUUUAUUUUAUUAUAUAUACAAAUAAUUUUUUUUUACACAUUCAGAGCACCAUCCCAACAAACAACAUCUCCAACUACCACCAACACAUCAUCAAACAUCAUACAUUCAUGUUUCAGCCAACACAUGAAUCAACAAGUCAAACUAUUAAUAUCAAUCAACGUGACAUCACAACCACCACCAUCACCAUCAAUCGCUACCAUCAUAACAGUUACUACAAUACCAGCCAUCACAACUAUCACCACCAACAUUAUUUAUCACUAACAUCAAUCAUUGUCACCACAACCACCACACUAUCACUAACAAACAUAAAUAUUUUUUCUCAAUCAAAUAAUAAUUUUGUUGUAUUAAAUUACAUACUUUUCUGAUAUAUAAUUAGUAAUUUAUUUGAAUUAUAUGUUUUAUUUUAUUAUAUAUACAAAUAAUUUUUUUUUACACAUUCAGAUGUUGAAAAACGAACAGUUUUAAUCAUUCAGUUUUCAGAUCUAGAAACAAUAUCUUAAUUAUUUAGAUGUGCAUUCAGAUUCAGACAUCUGAAUCUUUAAAAAAACAAAUGCAUCCCUAGAGUACAAAGGUUUUAAGUUCGGCCAAAUUCAUUAAUAUUAGUCAUAAUACAUAAAGGUGAAAAUUAUUUUCACCCUUCAACUUUACUUUAAAAAUCAAACUUUUCCCUCAAUUUUAAAAAAUAUUCAUAAUUCUCCAUUUAUCCUACGCAAUGUCUAUUUUACCCAUGUAAUUUUAAUUCUAUAUUUAUGUAAUACCCCUUUAUAAUAUAUACAAUAUUCUAUAUAAUAUAAAUUGUUUAACCUAAGUAUUUAUAGCAUUUUAUUUAAAUUUAUUAACAUUAUAAGUAAAAUAAUACUUUUUAUGAAUUUGUCACAAAAUUAAUGUUAUUUUUUAAGAUCGUUAUUGCAAUAUUACAUGUAUUAAAGAGUCGUUUGGUGUGAGGUAUAAAGUAUAAUAAUUUGAGGAUAAAAUUCAAGAUUAUUUUAUCCUGCACUUGGUUAGAGAUAUUAGUUAGUUUCAAAAUUAUUUAUCCCACCAUUUAUACCAAGGUGAUGGGAUAAGUUAUCACAUAUACAUGCAGUACAAUUUAUUCCGAAAUAACUAUUUCCGGGAACUUGUUCCCAACAAACCAUGUACAUGCAUGUGCAUAUAUUUUUUGUGUUUCACCACUCUCUUACUACACCCCUUUCAUAUUACUUGACUUUUGUUGACUUGACACAAUCAUUAAGAAAUUUUAUUAAGAGGUGUACUAUUUUAUUGAAGUAACCUUAUUAAUAAUCUUCUGAAACUUUAAAUUUGUCUAUACUAUAACUUAAUGUAGUUACUCCCUCCGUCCAUUUUAUGUGUCGUCAUUUUCUUUUUGGUACAUUCAAAAAAGAAUGUCAUCUUUCCUUAUUUGACAACUAUUUAACGUCAUCAUCCUUAUUUUAUCCUUACUAGGUCUCAGCCACUUAAUAAGAAAGGACAACUAAAAUGUAAAAAUUAAAAUGACUUUAAAAUUCGCAAUAUUCUAAACUUUACAAAGUCUUCAUUUAUUUCUUAAACUCCGUGUACGAUCAAAAGGCGACAUAUAAAAUGGGACUGGUGAAGUAUUUAAUACUAAGGGUAAAAAGAAAAUAAAAUAAUACAAUUUUCUUGAUUUCAUAAAUUAAACAAGUAAAUUAAAACAACUAUUUUUAGUAUAAAUGGCAAGUGAUAAGAAACGAGUAUUAUUUUUAUUUAUUUAUUUAUUUAUUUAUUUUUGAAACGAGUGUUAUGUGUUGCCUUUAUAAAUAAUUGUGAUUGUCACUAACAGAGUAUUACAUAAAUUAUAAUUUAAAAUCUAAAUAAAUAUAAUCUUUUAAAAUCUGACUUAAUUUUUAUUAAUUAUUUUGUAUCUUCUGCAUUGAAAUAUAUUUAUUAAAUUUAUAGUACUUUUCAUUUUCACUUGUAAAAUAUAUAUUAGAGUUUUAAUUAUUAUUAAUAAAACUAAUUUUCUUAUUAUGCUAAUUUAUUUCAUUAUAGAUCAUCAUUAGCUUAAAUACUUAAUUAGUAUUUUUCAUUUUUUCGUCCAGAAGAUAAUGUUCAUAUUUUAUGAAAAAAUUUGUUUCAUGAAUUUAAAAAAAAAUAAAAAUAUGAUUAUUGUAAGGAAGUAAAAAAGAAAAAGAAGAAAAAAGUUGAGGAUGAGACGGUAGAAUGUGCAUUUUAAGAAUUCACUUAAGAUAAAAGGAGGAAGUAUGACUAUUGUUCAAAGUUGAGGGGAGAGCUUCAUUUUUAAGAAAAAGUUGGGGAGGGAAGAUGAUUUUCACCCUAAUACAUAAACAUGACUUUUAACUUGGCUUCAACUCACAUCUAUGACCUCCAACUUUAAAUUUGUAAAGUUGAACAAAUAGACACACGCGUCUUAUGUGACAUAAUACAUGCAGGACUCCAUAUAUAUAGGACAUGAAUUAGCCAUGUAGGACACCACAUAGGACGCACGACACUUGUUCAACUUGAUACAAGUUUAAGUGUCUACUUGUGCACACUUAAAGUUAGAGGGCAUAGAUAAAUGUUAAAACCAAGCUAAAGGAACACGUUUAUGUAUUAUGAUUUAUGCCUUAAUAUUAACUUUACAUCAAACUCUUUAAUUCUAUCCGUCUCAAUAAAUUCAUUGAAUAUGAACAAAUUAUUAAUUUAGUUCACUAUAACUUAAAAAAAAAAGAAGUAAAAUUUGGCCGAACUGAUCAUAAAUUUCAAAUUCUACCUCUCUUAAUAUACUAGUGAGCCUAUGCCGUGCUACGCUCGGUCCAAUGUUGAUUCUUAAAAAUUUUACGACAUGUAUAAUUCUAUCUUUGAAUUAAAACCUCCAUUCAUUUGAUUGAUAAAUUCUAAGUUAGAUAUAUAUUAUUAUAUUUAGAUUGAUAAAAUUUGUAUAACAAUAUUUUAAGUUGUUCAAACUUUUAUAGCAUUGAUAGUCAAUUAUAUUUUUUAAAUAAUUUAAGUUUUUAAUUAUUGUGAUUUAUAAUUUUUUUCUUCUAUUCUAUUAAUUAGAAGUGACAUAAUAAAAUUAUUAUAACAAAUACUCGUGAAUUUUUUUCUAAGUGGUACUUAUUAUUUUAUAUCUAUUUUAUUUUUUUAUUAAAUAUUAUUAAUUAUGAGUGAAUAGUAAAAUUACGACUGAAACUGUCAUGUCAUAAAUGUCUCUCUUAAAUUUUUUAUUAACUAUUUUAAAAUUUUUAAUAAGUAAAUAAUUUAUAAUAAUUAAUUAAGAGUAAUAUAGUAAAAUUUUGAUUGAAGCAGACAUGUCAUAAAUAUUUAAUUUAUUUAUUUUAAUUAAAUAAUAUUAAUUUUAAAAUAUAUAAAUAAUUUAUAAUAAUUAAUUAAAAAUAAUAUAAUAAAAUUAUGGGUAAAACAGCUUAAGCAAACAUGUUGUCCACGAGGUGUAGUAGAAGUAGAAGUAUACUGUGCUAAAAGAAGCCAUAAGAAUAGUUUUGUUCUUACGAAAACCAACGUAAGCUAUCAAGUGUACCUGUCUGAUUAUCAUGUAUUUAGUGGGGUCUCUUUCUUUGGAUUUUUCUUUAAAAAGGGGAUAUCUCUUGUUUAGUCAUUCGUCAAUUAUCAUCACAAUUGAAAAAACGGAAAAAACUAAAACUCUUUAUUAACGUUAAUUUCUUAUUAUACCCUUUAACAUAACAAAUAAUCUUGUAUAAUCAUAUUAUACAAUGUAUAAGUUCGAUUCUCAAUAUAUUUUUGCCUCUUCUUCCUUUUUUUUUUUUUUUUUUCGCGCUGUGCAUGCAUUAGCUAAAAAAAUUCUCUCUCCAAGCCUAGAAAAUUCAACUCGAAAAAAAUUAUAUUUUCUAUUUAACCAUCUGCCCGCCCACCCGAAAAAGACUCAAGUGAUGAAGGUCUCUUCAGGUGGUCCUAUAUUAACUAUUCGUCUGGGUGUAUCUAAUUUCUGUCUGCUAUUGCAAUUUUUUGGUAUUUUUUGUAGACUAUGGACACUUGGUUCUACCGAAGCCAGCAACUUGUAGCACAUUCAUGUGCCUUAAUUGUUGAAAAUACGUCUAAUUUACACAAACAAUUUUUCUUUUCAUUUAUAGGCUACUAUUUAAAUUGGAUUCACAUUCAUAAAAAUUAUUCAAAUACAACCUUUAUAAUUAAGAAAUUGUAUUCUAGCGUCCACAUAAUUUUUAUUAAAUGAUGACAUGGAAUAUUUUCACAAUACUUUAAUUUGCAAAAACAAAAAAAAAAAAGAAGAAAGAAAAUUUUUUUCAAAAGAAAAAAAGGACAUGCAUGUACCAAAACUCCAAAAGGGACAAUUCUCACGGGUCCAACUAUGUGGGAGCCAAGUCAAAGCAUACAGAAGUGGAGUACUAAUUACUUUUCUUUUCUUGUUAACUAGUACAGUACUAUUUUUAUAUGUGUUUAACGUAUUUUAUAAUUUCAUUUUAUUUUAUUUAUUAUGAUGAUAAUAUAAUAUGAGCUUAAGUAAAACAAAUUUAUAUAAACCAACCGAUUCUAACUUGUUUUUUUCAUUUUAAAAAAAUUGAGACGGGAGAAGGAAAAAUGGAGAGAAGUUACAAGGUUGUGAAAUCAAACACUCACUGAUAAGAUAAAAAUUUAAAUAGUCAAUCAACUGAGCAAUUAAAAUUCUCCAAAAGUGUGUAAGUCAAUAAAGGGAAGGGAAAGAAAGAAGUAGGAAAGAUCAUAGUUAUAAUCGAAUAAUUCUACAAUACUCAAAGUAGAAAUUAAUGAUACAACAAGCAAGCAUGGUUAAACUUUUUAAGAAUUAAUUAAUUAAAAGGUGUGCUACUUGGUUUACUCUUCUACUUUUUGUAGCUGGAUAUUAAUUGUUUGCUAGCUUGUGUUGAGGAAGUCAAUAAUCAAUUGGUGUUUUGUUUUUCUUUUGGUUGGUCAUUUGAGGUUUCUAUGAAACUACCUAGAUGUUAACUCUUGGACUAUGCUAAGUUGUUUACAAUUGGGCAAAAAGUAAGAAAGUAGAAAAAAAAUAGAAUAUGAGUGUGUUUGGUAAGAAGAAAAAUAUUUUCUUCAAAAUUAGGAGGUAGCAUGUAUAUAUGUUAUAAAAUUAAUUUAGGUGCGUGCAAAUUCAUCUAGACAUUAUAAAGGAUAGCCUUAUAGUGUUAAUUAUUAGAUGGGUUAAAAUAAAAGAUUGAGGUAACAAAGGUUCAAGAUGAUGUACACACACCAUUUGAAAGUUUAAUUGCUUAAUUGAAAGCAAAAAAAAAAAAAAUAUAUGUUAUAUAAAAUGUUGAUCAGAAAGCAAGGCGGUUCAAAGAUAUAGAGGCAGUUAAAGGCUUGAUUAAGUGAUAGAUAUGGGAUUAACGAACAUAGAAUUAGGAUUUAGUAUGGUCUCAUUUGGUAUGAGCAAUAAGGAAUAACUGGGAUUAUUUUUAGAACGAGUUUAUCUCAUGUUUGGUUGAGAUAAAAUUACGAAAUAACUUAUCUUGUGGUUAGUUAUCCGGGAUAGUAAUAUUAUUUCUAUCCUAUAUUGAAGGUGAGAUAACAAUCUCGAACUAAUUCCGAUAUCACUUACUCUCAUUCAAUAGAUGAAUGUAAUUAAAGCAAAAUCAUUUUCCAUUACUAGAUUUAGAAAUCCAUAAUUUUUAAGAUGACGAAAUUAACCGUAUAAAUUAUCUUUGUUUGCCCCUCUCCCCUCGUCAUAAUUAUAUUUUUGAAUUAGUUCUCAAUUGUCAUUGUCUCCGUUGCUGAUACAAAAAUUAACCAACAAUUUUUUUAUAAAAAUGUCUCAACGGAGUAUAUGUUUCGUAGCUAUCAUAUUUAAUUAUUAAUAUUGUGUGGUUGGAAUUUCACAAGUACUAUAGGAAGUAUGUCUUUUUUUAAUUAUUAUUUAUGUUUCGCAACCAGACAUGCAGUUUAUAAGAGGUAUUUUGGUCCUCAAGUGUGUAAGAGGUUGUAGUUAUACAUAGCACAUAUAAUUGAUGAGAGAGGCAACUUCAUUUAUUCCAGCAAGUUCAAACGUAAACAAAUGGAAUUGCUAAAAAACAAUUGUAAAAUAAAAUGUGUUUGAAAAAUUAAUAUUCAUUGUUAACUAAUUAAAGUCAUUCCUACCAAGAAGGUUGUGGUGGAACCCCCUCAGAGUCGCCUGUGGACUCUAUUAGGGAGAGUUUUACCUUUAAUGUGGGAUUUUUCAGUGUGAAAUUGAAUUUAAUCGAAUACUUGAACUCUAAUGCAAUUGUCGAACACCACACGAAAAGAUUCCUUCAUAUACAAUAAGUACUAACUAAAAGGACAAUAAAAGAUUGGUUCCAUGGAGCCAACACUAAAGCUAUUGUUUACCAAAAAAAAAAAAAGCUAUUUAAUUCACUUGUACUUUAGGAAUUGAAUUAGUUUUUUAAUUGGAUGUGUGGUUUCAUUAUACUUAAUAAAUAAUGAUCGGCAGAUUGAAAUACAAAAAUAGUAAGUAUAUAACAUGUUAGAGUUCGAUAGAAUUGAAUAAUUAUUUGAAUUUAUAUUCACAUUUUAAAAAAUAUUAUUAAUUAUGUAUAAUAAUUAAACUCAAAACUUAAUUACUUACAUUUAACAUUAUAUCUUCAAAUUAAAAUCAUGAAAUUUAAAUUUUGAAUACUCUUUCUUAGAAGUUGCCCCCACUGGACAACUAAAACAAGUUUUAUUGGAAAUUGAAGGUUACUUUCUUGAAAUUAAAAAAAAAAAAAAAAAAAGGAACUAAAAAGAAAAGUAUUUCAUGGAAGUGGUGGGACCAUUAAUUAGGCCAAUAAAGAGACAGUAUUAGAUUUUUCAUGUCAAUGUCAUUGCCAAUAUUCCCCCCCAAAAGAUACAUUGUGUUAGGUAUUAUUGGUGAAUAUAUCAACCAAGUGGUGACAAAGACAUAAUUACUCCUAACCGAUAUAGCUUAUUAAAAGGAUCGGACGGUGCAAUAAAGCUUACGCUAUUUAUGAAAUUCGAGGAAGGAUCGGAUCAUAAGAGUCUACUAUACGCAAUCUCACCUUAUAUUUCUGCAAACGUCUGUUCCCAUGGGUUGAACCUAUGAACUUGUGAUCAUAUGACAACAUGACGAGUGAUUCCAAUCCAAAACAACUGUUUUCACGGCUUGAACAUAUGACCUCCUGAUCAUAUGACAACAUGAUGAUGGGUCAUUCCAACCCAAAACAUUGACAGGUUAAAUAGGAUUGAAUUCAUAAACUGUGAUACCCGUUGAUCUGAAUUUAUACAUAUAUCACUCAACGUAAUCAACUGUUAAAAUUUGGACAUUGGACAAAAAACUAUUAUUAUCUAAUACUACUUUGACAUGGGAAUAAAAUUAUUUGUUGAUCAAGUAUUAAUUAACAAAUUCAAGAAAAUUGAAAGGGAAAGACAUUAAGAACCAAGCGAUUAAAGGACAAACACCAUUUAAGUAUCCCAAUAACCUCUAAUAGUAGUAAUAUAUAGAAUGUUUUAAUGUUGUUAUCAGUAAAAGACAAUAUAAUAUAUUGGGAUGUACGUCUAUUUCGACCUAAUAGUUGUUGGACUUGUUAGUUUAUAUUUGGUAGAAAUAUAUGAUGAGGUAGCUAAAAAUUACUAAAUUAUUUUAUAAUAACAAGAAUUAAUUAAUUAAUUUACUUGUUAUAGUUUAACUAUAAUUCACGUCAAUGUUCCAAGAAAAACAAAGUUGGAAUGUUACUCACGCGUAGGCAUAGCGUUAAAUAUUUACAUUAUUGGUUUUAUUAUGAGAUUUUUCUUUUGAUUUUCUAUCGACGUCUGAUAUUUAUAUUAGAAUCUGACUAAAUUCAUAUUUAUAUCUUGUAUAUAUGACCCAUUUUUGAAGGAUGUUCUCCCAAUAAAUAAUUAAGGGUGGAAAGAUCUCAACUAUCCAACUGAUAUUUCAUUAUAAGAGAUUGAAGAGUACUAAUUAGUUGAAGAGUUAAAAAGAUCUAUACUAUUUAAUAGUGGUUACCGAUCAUCUUCACUUUUGACAAUGAUGAUUUUUAGUUUCUAAUUCGAAUGAUAUUAUAUUGACUGUCAUAAAUAGAAAUUUGUGAUUUGAUGGAAAAGUUUUCUUUUAUCUUUAGUUAAAAAAUUUAAAUUUGAGCUUUGAAAAGGAAGAAAAAUCUUAAAUGACGUGCAUUCAAAUGUUUGUCACUCCAACGCAAAUAUCAAAUAACUAAAAUAAAAUAUUGGCUAUGGCUUAAGUGAUCAUUGCAUGACCUAGCAAAGUUGCAAACCUAGUUUCAUUCAUCUGAAUGUAGUGGAAAUCUUACAACAAAAAGGUCAAAAACCAGUGGUGGGAAGCUAAUUUUUUUGCUAAAAAUGUUCAAAAAUUUAUCUAUAUUUCUAGAAAGUAGAUUAUGACUUAUACAUAAUACUAUUUUUUGGCCAAAUUCAUCGGUGGGCCUCUAAAUUUGGCACGAACUUUCACUUAGGCACCUCAAAUGAACGUUGUUCACUUUAACACCUAAAGUAGCCUGAUACUUUUGUUGAAUCAGUAAAGAGAGUGUGUUGCACUCGCUGCCAACAUGGACAAAACGAUCAAUUGAUUUAUGCCAACUCAUUUAAAUUGCCACAUCAUUAAUUAUAUUCACAAUUAAUUUUUUUUUUUAAAAAGGUCAAAAUACAUGAUUAUUAAUAAUUAUCCAACUUAUUAAUAUAUAUACACACAAUUAAAUUAAAGGAACCAAUUAAUUACUGACACGUGACAUUUUAAAAAAUAAUUAUAAAAUUAUCAACCUAACCUCCACCCCACCAUCUCCAAACUCCAAAGUCAUCUUCUUCAUCACCACCCAUCCCCCAGCACCUACCCCCAAGUCAUCUUCUCUACAUGGCAGUCCUCCUCUCCCUUUAUCUUCUCCAUUUGCCCUCCUCCACCCCCACCUUCACUCCCCCAACCCCAAAGUCAACAACAAUUUUUGCCAACAACAAAUUCACUUCUCCACAAAUUCAAAACAUAUAGCACAAAUUCACCAAGCCAACAACAGCAAACACCGUUGUUCCAUCGACGAAAAUUAUUUUUGUCAUUUUCUUAAAAACAUCAUGAUAAUCUCAUCAAAGUCCAACAUAUGGACCAUUUUUGCCAUUUUCUCAAAAAUCAGACAAGAAAAUGAAGGGAUACAGAUGUGUUAAGAAAAGAAAGAAAAUGGUGGAAAAUUAAUGGUUAAAAAAGAGAAGAAGAAGAAAGAGAAGAAGAAGAAAUCUACAAUCUGCACCAACUUGCAUUUUUCCAAAUUAUUAAAAAUCAAUUGUAUUAAGGUAAAAAAAUGAUGGAAAAUUAAUGGAUGGGGAUGGGGGAGGGUGGGAGAAGACGAUUUUGGGUGGAGGUGGCAGCAACGAUUUGGGGGUGGGGUGGACUGAGGAAGAUGAUAUGGGGUAGGGUGGGGUGGUUAGGAAGAUGAUAUAAGGGUGGGGUGGAGUUAUUAUUUCUUUUUUUAUUUUAAAUUAAAUAUAUAAAAAUUAUUUUUAUAAAAUGCCAAAUGUCCUUUUAUAAUUGGUUCAUUUAUAUGUUAUAUACCCUAAAACGUGCCUGGCAGCGAGUGCAACACACUCUCUUUGCUGAUUCAGCAAAAGGUGUCAAAGUGACACACUUUGUGGUCACUUGGGUGUUAAAAGUGAAUAACGUUCACUUGAGGUGCCUAAGUAAAAGUUCGUGUCAAGUUUAGGGGACCACCGAUGGAUUUGACCUUACUUUUUAUAUGCAUAGUAUUACUUUGAGGUGUGUUUCUCGAGCUUUAUGACUUUAUCACAAUUUUUUUUGAAUUUGUUCGGAUAUUACACCUAAAAUUAAACGAGAAUAACAUGAAUUGCACCAUGUACCACGUCUCACAAUCUCAAUUUUUUUCAUAUAAUAUACACAAAUACAUUUUUUCUUAUUCUAAAUAUUUUCUUUAUUACUUCACGCAUCGAAAUAACUUUAGUCACAUUUUAUACUCUAAAAGUCAUAACUAGAGAAAUUUGUUUAAGAAUAUAAAUGUGUAAUUUUACAAACAAAAAACAAGUUGCACAUUUGCUCUAUUAAUUUGGCUGUCUAACACAUCAAUACUAAAAUUAUGAUCAUAUAAGCUACAUUAUUACUUAUUAGGAUUAUUUGAAAAUUUUUUUUUGUCUAUUUUAGGAGUAUACGAAGGGUUUGAUUUCUCAUACGGUCACUCAAUCAAUAAUUAUUAUUUCAGAAAGUUAUUAUUUUUUCUGAUUUAAUUUUUUUUCAACAAAGAAAUGACUUUCUAAAAAACUCCUUAUAUUCAUUUUUACUUGUCAGUUUUGCUUUUUUAAAGUCAAACUAUAUAAACUUUGAUCAUCAUUUUAAGAUAUAGCAUUUUGCAUCUUAUUAAUACAAGAAGAAUUGCAACUUAUUUGUAUUUUCAUAUAGUUUUCGAACAUCUAAAUCUAAUAAAAUAUCAAAUUAAAUCAAUUCAAUCUAUCUUCAAAGAUUAGUCAAAUUGAUUCUCAUGAAGUGAAAAUUAACAAGUAAAAAUAAACGAAGAGAAUAAUAACUAUUAAUUGAGUAAUUACUAUGAAAUCAACUCCUAAGUAUAUAUGAACCGUUGCUUAAUUAGUGAAUGAAAUUGACUAUAUAUAUCAUGUCAAAAACCAUCCGAAGCUUAUCGAAUUACGUAAUUAUCUUUAAUAUUUCUAGUCUUUUCUUAUGUCACAUUCAUUUUAUGUUUUGAGAAAAAAGCACUCACCUUUUUUUUUUAGACAUUAAUAAAGAGACACGACUAAAUUUUCAAUCAUCUUUCUUUUUUUAAAAAUAAAUAAAUAAAUUCUUUAGAAAAUUGAUAAAUAAGUAGAGGAUUUUUUGGAAACAGUGUCUCAAUAACCUCUCUACCUCACCUUUUAUAAGAUAAAAAUGAGAUCUACAUAUACUCUACUUUUUUUAUAUUUUAUUUUGUGAAAUUACACUAAAUAUAUUGUUAUUGUUAUUGAAAAUUGACAAACAAGAACUAUAGUUGUAUAAAUCUUCUUCCACUAAUUCCACUAGCUAAAGUCUUCUAUAAUAUGUAUAAUAAUCAUGCAGAGUUUAACGGUACGUAUUUUUUCAAGAAUAUUUUAUAUACGUAUCACUUUCGCGUGUUAUAUUAUGAUUUAAUUAAAGUGUUGAUUUUUUUUAGUUGUCGGACACCAUAGAAGCUUUGAUGGAAAGUUGGUAACUGAUAAGAAUAUAUGCAAUUGCAAAGCAACACAUUUGCAUGAUAUUACAAGAUAUUUUUAGUCAGAAAAUGCAAAUCAUAGAUUUUUUUUCAUCACAGGGAAUAACAUAUGUUACGAUCGUCAUUCAAUUGAAAAAAUCUACAUUAUAAAAUCAUACAUAAUUUUUUCAUAUCAUUACUACUUCUCCCUUUAAUUAUGUGUAUAAUGAGUAUGAUACAUAGAAUUAAAAUUGAUUCAACCAUGAAGAUAUUCUCGUUAUAAACUCGGCUAAUAUUUUUACAAGAAAUCUCUAGCCAACUUUCGCGAAUAAAUUCUUUCUUAAUAUCAAGCCUAUUCAGACUAGAUAUGAAUGAUUUAAAUAACUCCAACAUUUUAUUUGUUGGAAAUUUUAUGGCAGUACAUAGCCGCCUGAUGCACUAAUCUUUGAAGCUGGUAGAAGUUAAAAAUCUGAUGAAAUCAAAUAUCUUAUAAUCUUGCAACUACUAAAUAAAUAAAUGAAAUUAAAUAAUUAUAAGUAAAAGAAGUUGGCUUAUAUGGUCAAAUCUUUCUAUAACAGUCAUCCUCUAUAAUAAUAUUUCGCUAAAAAAAUUAUAUUUCCGGUAGAACCGAUCAUUCAUGUUACGUUAUGCUAUGUUACAUAUUCUCUAUAACUGUAUAGCAACAUUUUGUUAUAAUUAACAACCAAAAAAUAUCAUAAUAUAAACAAUAUUAUUAUGGAGAAAUUUAAUUGUAUAUUUAUAUUCAAGAUUUGCAGGUUCUAGCAUUUUGGACUGUCAAGAUUGGCGUUAUUGCAGACAGUGGCUCCAAGAAUAAUCUUUAAUCGUAUUAAUUAAAUUACUGAAAGCAUAUUACAACCAUUGGCUCAUCCAAAGGUCUAAUUAUAUACUAUUUAGGUAGAGCCAAUUUAAAGUAAAUCGAAUCUUAUUUCUUUCUUUAUUUUUAGUGCAAAUUAAAACUAAGGUAUAAUAACAUGACAGUAUCUUGUUGCAACGAGAGCGUGUGGAUGCAGCUUAAAGGGUUCAACUGAUUUCAGUAUUUUCGACACUUAAAUAUAUAUAAAUUAAACUCAUCAAUAUUUUUUAAAAAAAAACUUCGAAUCCAUUUUGGCUAUAGUACUACUUUCUAAUGUUAAAUAUAUAAUUUCUUAUAUAUUUGCCUUAAUGGAUCUUAGUUAUGUGUCAUAAUUUGAAUUCACGGACACCCUAAAAUAAAUAUCGAACAUCAGGUUAACAGGGCUACCUACAAAAGCAAUCGUGUGAUACUCAUUAUUACGUCGAACAUAAUUGAAUAUAUUGAGUAUAUAUAUUUCUCUUCUAAAAUUUAAAUUUGUAGCUGGAAUUUAAUUGUUUGCUUUUGUAAAGGAAACUUGAUUGGUAUUGGUAUAUGAACUUUCUUUAGGUUUCCUAUAAAACUAUCCUUGAUGUUAACUCAUGGAAUCCACUAAAUUAUUGACAACUAAGCAAAUAGAAACAGAAAAAGAACAAAAAAGAGGGAAGUAGAAUAAGUUGAUUAAACCUUUUUGAUAUUGACUAUUGAAUUGUGUGAUACCAAAUAAUUAAAUUAUAUACCAAACAAAUCGAGUUAAAUUUAAAAGGGGACAAGAUGAGCUUAAUGAAUGAGUUAUAAUAUUCGGAGAAAAAAAUGAGUUAUGAUGUAUUUGUUCAUAUUUCGAUUGGACGGAGACAAUCCAGAGUGCUAAAACUUUCGCUAUGCACAAGAUUCGGAAAAGGGUCGAACCACAAAGGGUUUAUUGUGCACUAUUCUUACCUUGAACUUCUUCAAGAGACCAUUUUCACGACUUAAACUCGUGAUUUUCAGAUCAUAUGACAAUAACUUUAUUGAUUAUCGCAUGGCUCCCUCCACAAUUUGAUUGGAUCCAAAUGAAUUAUUUAAGAUGCAUUGAACAUUCGUUAUUGGAUCUUGUCAAUCAUGUCAUUCAAACAUACUGGGGAGCAUUUAUUACUUGGGGAACAAAAUUGAAACUCCUAGCUUGAAUAUCAACUAUAAAAGGAUUAAUUGAAUCGAGUUUGUACGAUUAAAAUAAGUUGAAUCGACGAAUGCAUUAUAAUCUAAUUCGCUUAAUAUUUGACACACAAUAAGACAUAAGUUAAAGAACUACUCAUUAUAAAAUUUUAAAGACACUGACUAUUAACUGUCAAAUUAGCCUUUCUAUUUUUAAUUUUUUGGGUCUUUUUAUUAAUUAAGGAACCAUAGUGUAUGAUUAAUUUAAAUUAUAUUUUUGUGUGUUUUGGUCCUCAAGUUCAAUAAGUGGCUAUUUAUUGCAACUACGAUUGAUGUGAGAGGUGACUUCAAUUGUUCCAGCAACUUCAAUUAGUAUUUGGUAUUUGAAAAUAAAUAAAAUUGUUAAAUUUAUACAAAUAGGUAAGAUUAAAAAAAAAACUCUAUACAUUCAAAUUUGUUAUGAAAUAUAAAUAAGGAACAACAAGAAUAAACAGAGAAAGAAGGGGGAGUUCUUUAUUGCUCUAGAGGAUGAGAGAUCAUCUUGAUUGAGAAUACACUGAAUAAAACCCCUCUAUUUAUAGAAAAAAAUACUCCUAGUGUCUGACUAAAAGACAGAUACUUCAAAUCCUAAUAGAUAUCAACUAGAUCUUAUUAAAUCACAUUCACUAUAAUGUAAAUAUAUUUAUAACAAAAUUAAUGAUUUUCCUUCAUAAUUAAGUUUAUUUGUUUAUAUGGCAAGUUUAUAGGUUAAAAAUAAAAAUUCUCUUAAUAGCCAAACACUAAAAAUAUUACUCCUCUAAGGGAGCAUAGUUUUUCUUUUAAUUUCUUUUUGUAUUUAUAGUAUUAUUAUACAAUAAAUUAAUAACGACUAGUGGAGAUUAAGAAUUCGUUUUUUUGAAAAAUUAUUUUACUUUAUUUGGAAAAAAAAAACCUAGCUAUGAAAAUCAAGUUGUAUUUGAAAUUUGAAAAACAACCAAAACCUUUUUUUUGUUAUAAAACAAGAAAGAAUAAAGAAGAAAAGUAGAGGGAAUAGAGAGAAUAAUUGUUAUUUCUCUUGAGAGAUCAUUUACAAUGAAGGAAGCCCUUCUAUUUAUAGGAGAAAUUUGCUCCCAGUUUCACACUAAAAGACAGAUACAUCAAAUCCUGAUAGACAUCAAAUAGAUCUUGAUAGAUUUGGAUAGACAUUCACUAUAAUUGAUAUAUAUCAUAACACUCCCUCUUUAAUUGUUAACAAUACACAUAUAGGUUGCCUCGUUAAAAACCUUAACAGUAAAACCCAGUGGGACAAAACCUCAUAAGAAAAAAAGAGUACAACGCGUAUUAACUCCCCCUAAUAAGAACAUCCUUGAACCUUUGCAUUCCGAUCUUGUGAACUGUUUUCUUGAAAGUUGUAGUUGGAAGAGACUUGGUGAAUAAAUUAGCCACAUUGUCACUUGAACGAAUCUGUUGUACGUCAAUAUCACCAUUCUUUUGGAGCUCAUAUGUAUAGAAGAGUUUUGGCGAAAUGUGCUUCGUUCUAUCUCCUUUUAUGAAUCCUCCUUUAAGUUGUGUUAUGCAUGCUGCAUUAUCUUCAUAUAAAAUCGUGGGUACUUUGUCACAUUUCAAGCCACAUUUUUCUCGAAUGAGAUGUAUUAUGGAUCUCAACCACACACACUCUCAGCUUGCUUUAUGAAUAGCUAUAAUCUCAGCGUGAUUCGAUAAAGUGGCUACAAUAGACUGCUUUAUUGGUAUCCAAGAUAUGGCAGUACCCGCACAUAUGAAUACAUAGCCUGUUUGAGAUUGAGCUUUAUGUGGGUCAGAUAAGUACCCAGCAUCAGUAUAACCAAUAAGAUCGAAACUGCAAUCUUUAAAACAAAAUAAGCCCAUAUCGAUAGUCCCUUGUAGAUACCGUAGUAUGUGUUUGAUCCUAUUUCAAUGUCUUCUAGUAGGAGCAGAACCAUACCUUGCUAAAAAAUUAACUUAAAAAGCUAUAUCAGGCCUUGCAAGAUACAUUAGUGCAUCAAUGGCACUAAGAUAUGGUAUUUCAGGACUAAGGAGUCCCUCAUUCUUUUCUUGAGGUCGAAAUGGAUCUUUAUUCACAUCAAGUGAUCGAACAACCAUCAGAGUACUUAAUGGAUGUGCUCCAUCCAUAUAGUAUCGUUUCAACACCUUUUCUAUGUAGGCAGAUGAUGGACAAAGAUACCGUUUGUCAAAUGCUCAAUUUACAAACCAAUGCAUAACUUUGUCUUUCCGAGAUCUUUCAUCUCAAAUUCUUUGUUUAGGUAAUCAAUUGCCUUUUGAAUCUCUAUUGGCGUUUUAAUAAGGUUUAUGUCAUCGACAUAGACAGUAAGCAUAACAAACUCCGAUGUUGUUUUCUUUAUGAAAACACAAGGGCAAAUUUCAUCAUUCGUAUAACCUUCCUUAGAUAAAUAUCCACUAAGAUGGUUAUACCACAUGCGUCCAGAUUGCUUCAAACCAUACAAUGAUCUUUGCAAUCUAAUGGAAUACAUUUUCCGAUGCUUUGAACUAUAUAUUUUUGGCAUUUUAAAUUUUUUGGAAAUUUUCAUGUAUAUCUCAUUAUCAAGUGAUCCAUAUAGAUAGGUUGUUACCACAUCCAUCAAAUGUAUUUCAAGUCUCUCAUGGACAGUGAAAAUAAUAAGAUAACACAAUGUUAUUGCGUCCAUAACUGGUGAAUAUGUCUCGUUAUAAUCGACACCAGGCCAUUAUGAAAAAACUUGUGCAACAAGACGUGCCUUAUACCUUUAUAUUUCAUUUUUCUCAUUUCUUUUUUCGCACAAAGACCCAUCUAUAGUCAACAGGCUUAACACCAUUAGGUGUUUGAGUUAUAGGUCCAAAAACUUUACGUUUGGCAAGUAAUUUCAAUUUGGAUUGAAUUGUUUCUUGCUAUUUUGGCCAGUCAUUUCUUUAUUGAUAUUCUUUGACAGAUCGAGGUUCAAGAUCCUCACUAUCUUGCAUGAUUUUUGUUACAACAUUAUAUGCAAAAACAUAAUCCACUACUAUUUCAGAUCGAUUCAAAUCAGUUUCAACAUCACUUGAAUUUAUGGAUAUUUCCUUAUUUUCUUGAGUCUCAGACUUAUUAAUUUCUUCAGGAAUAUCAACAUUGCUCAAAUCUUAAAUUUUCAUAUAAGGAUCUUUCGUAGUGUCAUCUUGACCAUUUUUUUCUAGGAUUUCGAUCCUUAGAACCUAAUGGUCUACCACGCUUCAAGUGUGUUUUAGAUUCAUUAACUAUGACACUAGUGGAUAAUCUUUUAGGGACAACAAUUUGAAUUGGGACAUUCUCUGUAGGAAUAUGAGAUUUAGUGAUCCUUUUUAAAUCUGUAAAUGCGUCCGGCAUUUGAUUUGCAAUUCUCUGCAGAUGAAUAAUCUUUUGUACUUCUUGCUCACAAAUAAAAGCACGUGGAUCAAGAUGAGAUAGUGAUGAAUUUUUUCACAAAAUUUCUCUUUUAGUGUCACUUUCUUGUCCCUCUAAUUUUGAGAACACUAUCUCAUCAAAUUGACAAUCUGCAAAUCGAGCAGUGAAUAUAUCUCCCAUUAAUGGUUCAAGCUAGUGAAUAAUGAAAGGUGAUUCAAACCCAACAUAAAUUUCUAACCUUCUUUGGGGCACAUCUUGAUGCGAUUUGGUGGUGCUAUAGGCACAUAAACACCGCAUCUAAAAAUUCUCAAAUGAGAUAUAUUAGGCUCUUGACCCAAAAUCAAUUGCAAUGGAGAAAAUUUAUGAUAAUUUAUCGGUCUAAGAUGAACAAGUGUUACAGCAUGCAAAAUUGCAUGACCCCAAACAGAAGUGAGCAACUUAGUUUUCAUAAGCAAUGAUUUUGCUAUCAACUGCAGGCAUUUAAUUAAUGAAUCAGCAAGGUCAUUUUGAGUGUGAGCAUGGGGUACGUCAUUUUGAGUGUGAACAUGGGGUACAGGAUGUUCCACUCUUAUCCCAAUCGAUAAGUAAUAGUCAUUAAAUGCUUGGGAUGAAAAUUCUACAGCAUUAUAAAGGCAAAUAGACUUAAUUUGAUUAUCGGAAAUUUGAUUAUCGGAAAACUGUGUUCGUAAUCAUAUUAUUUAUGCCAACAAUUUUGUAAAUGUCAAGUUGCAAGAUGACAAAAGGCACACAUGAGACCAUCUAGAAGAAACAUCUAUUAGAACUAUAAAAUAUCUAAACGACCCACUAGGUUGGUGAAUGAGUCCACAAAUGUCUCCAUGUAUACGUUCUAAGAAUGUGGGGGACUUAAUCCCAACUUUUGUUGGUGAUGGUCUCACAAUCAGCUUGCCUUGAUAACAAGCAUUGCAUGAAAAUUCACCAUUCGAAAGAACCUUCAAGUUCUUUAAUGGAUGCUCAUUUGAAUUUUCUAUGAUUCAUCUCAUUAUUAUAGAUCCAGUAUGUCCCAGACGAUCAUGCCAAAGUAUGAAAGUACUUGAAUUAGUAAACUUUCGAUUUACUAUAGAAUGUAUCUCAAUUGCACAAAUCUUUGUCCAAUACAGGCCAGAAUAUAAAGCAUGGAACUUUUCUAUAACACAUGUCUGGCAGAGACAUUCUUGGUGAUAGCAAUUAAGAUAUUCAAGAUUCAUCUCAUCAAUCGUCUUGAUAUGAUAACCAUUUUCACGGAUAUCUUUAAAACUCAUCAAGUUUAUCCAAGACUUAGGAGAAAACAUAGCAUUAUUUAUGAUGAGUUUAGUUCCCUUGGGCAAGGUUAUAAUGACUUUUUCGAAGCCUUCAAUCAAAUUAGCACUACCAGAAAUUGUAGUAACGUUAAUCUUGCCCAUGUUUAGAUGAGAGAAAUAUUUCCCGUCUUUGAAUAUAGUAUGCGUAGUGCCAAAAUCAAUCAAACAAAUAUCUUCACAAUUGGACAACUUACUUUGAAAAUUAUCCAUAUCUUCAAAUAAAAUGAUAUAGACCAAAUAAAAUAUAUAUUAAAUUUUUGUACAAAGUGAAAACUUAUACUAUAAAGAAUUAUUAAUCACCCUUUACUAAGCAAUUAAAUAAAGUUAAUGACUAUGUAUGCUUUUGUUAAAGUUGGAGGCUAUAUCAUCAGACACAUUAAUUAAGCAAAUUAUAUUUAACCUUGGUCACAUUAAUUAAGCAAAUAACAUUAUCCAAACUGUACAUUGUUGAAGGAUAAACAAAAUAGUUGGUGAUCACGUGGGACCUAACGGACGAACAAAACAGCAAAGAGUAAAACUGCACAAUUACUAUAUUUAUCUUACCUAAAGAAUAUAAUAUUAUUAUAUAUAGAAAGUGCUUGCUUUGCAGUUUGCAUGCAAAAGGUAAUGGGGUUCAAUCCCUGCAUCUCUACGCAUAUAAAAUUUUCUCGCAUGUAUCGUUGUUUCUUUCCUUUUUUUUUUUCAAUCAAUAAUGGCAUAAUUUAAAUUCAAUUCAAUUCAAUAAUAAACUACAAUAACAUAAUUGAACUUAAUCAAUACUAAUCAAAAACUAAUAUUCAUGCAAACAAUUACUUUUGCAUGAUUCUUUAUUCACUAAUUCUUAUCAAUAAUACAAAAAAUUUAAAAGCAUUCAUUCUUUCAUAUUUACGGAACCAUCACCAAUCAAGUGAUCAAUCUUUCCUUCAGGGUGCACAAAGAAGUCUGCUACAUCCAACCUUGUGAUGUCAACAUUAUUUUCAGAGAGAAAGUUAGCCUCGAGAUUUCUCUCUUUCUUCUUUAGUGAUGCUUGAUAAAGAUCAACCAAGUGCUUGAGAGCACGACAGUCACGUGAAUAAUAUUCUUUUCCACCACAUCGAAAAUAAGUAAUUGCUUCAAGUUUCUCAUCUUUUUUCUUUUUAUUUGAUGAAUGAUUAACACCCGAAACAGGGUUUCUUUCUUGGUUAUCAUGACCACGACCACGACCAUGUCCACGACCAGGGUCGCGACCUUUUCCAAACCUACCUUGGUGAGCGUGCACAUCAUUCACUUCAGGGAAUGGUGCAAAUCCAGUUAGUCGGUUCUCAUAAUUUUUCAUCAUCAAAUCAUUAUUUUGUUCAACCACGAGAAGAUGAGAACUCAGUUCAGUAUACUUCUUGAAACUUUUUUUUUCUCGAUAUUGCUGCUUUAAUAGCACAUUCAAGGCAUGAAAAUUGGAGAACGUCUUUUCCAUCAUAUCAGUAUUAUUGACCAUCUCUCCACAUAGUUUCAAUUGAGAAGAAAUUCUGAACAUGUCAGAAUUGUACUCAUGAACGGACUUAUAGUCUUGAAAUCUUAGAUGCAUCUACUUAUAUCGUGCUUUUGGCAGGAUGACCAUCUUUAAGUGAUCAAACCUUUCUUUUAGGCUAUUCCACAAUAUGAGUGGAUCCUUAGUAGUAAGGUACUCAAUUUUCAGAACUUCGUCAAGAUGAUGCAAGAAAAUCAUAGCCUUAGCACGAUUCUGACUAGAUAUUGUAUUUUCAUUCUUUAUGGUGUCUCCAAGACUCAUAACAUCUAGGUGGAUUUCAACAUCCAUGAAAUAUAGUUCUUGCCCGAGCUUUAGAGGGCAAUGAACUCACACUUCAUAAGAUUGUUAGCCAUAUGGAAAAGGAAAUAAAUAAAAAAUAAUACCUUAGCCUUCAAAUUUGAGACGGCAGAGUCGUGCUGAUAACGUGUUAUAAAACAAGAAAGAAUAAAGAAGAAGAGUAGAGAGAAUAGAGAGAGUAAUUGUUAUUUCUCUUGAGAGAUCAUUUACAAUGAAGGAAUUCAUUCUAUUUAUAGGAAAAAUUUGCUCCUAGUUUCACACUAAAAGAUAGAUACAUCAAAUCCUGAUAGACAUCAAAUAGAUCUUGAUAGACAUUCACUAUAAUUGAUAUAUAUCAUAACGCUUUUCACUUUUUUCUUUUUUUUUACUUUUAAUUUUUUUUUUUUUCAAAAAAUCUUAAAUUUUUGUUUUCAUAAAUAAUCCCAUUCAAAUUAUUCCAUGUUUAAAUCAUAUUUUAUAUUUGUUAAAAAAAAAUACAUUUAAAUUUUAAAUAUAACUAUAAAAAUUAUGGUCAAACACAACUUCAACUUUAAAAAUUUUCAAAUAAAAUGUUUCUUCUUUUGAUUUUCAUGGCCAAAUGCUAGCUUAGCGGUAGUAGCCAAUGGCCUCUAUCAAUAUAGAUUGUUGUGAGAUGAUUGGAUUUCUUUAACCUUAAUCACAAAUUUGAAUUUGAGUAAUCUCUAAUAAUGUAAAACAGAAUUUUCAGAAGCGUCAUAUCCUCGAUAAAUUCAAGUAUAAUCGAACCCUAAAAUGAAAGAUUUGAAAAAGAAGAAGAUACUAGUGGCCUAUGGUGGUUGAGUAAUAAACGAGAAACACUUUGAAUAUCUGUUUGAUUAAACACUUAGACUAGAAAUAUAAGGAAGGGCCAAUAAAGAGUUAGAAUUUGAUUUUCAUUUCAAUUUCAAGGUGUUUUGUUCUUUAUAAAGAUAUAAUAUUAGGUAUGAUUGUGAAUACCGAAUAUAACAACCAAUUAAGUGGAAGACAAAGAUUCCUCCUAUAAGUAUGGUUUUCUUGAGGGGCCCUUGAGACAAACAGUUAAAAGAUGCUCAACAAAAAAUUAAUGAUUGAGUGGUCUGGAGGCAGUUUUUUACGGUGGAAAAUUUGGCAUCAAAUUAAGUACUCGUUCGACCAUAAAAAUUAAAAUUUUUUAAAGUUAAAGUUGAAAUUGAAAUUGAAGUUGUGUUUGAUUAUGUUUUCUUUGAACUUUUUUUUUUUUACUUUUGAAAAAUCUUUUUAAAAUAUGAUUUUAUGUCUCAACUUUUAUAAACUAUCAAAAUCACCCAACUAAAAUUUAUCUACUAACGGAAAAAGAACACAAUUAGGUACUUUUAUAAAAAUAAUUACAUAUACACGAUCAUAAUUAAUGAAUUUCAAUUAUGACAUAUGUAAUAUUUACAUUAAUAGCCGUUUUCUAAUAUUUGAAAAGUUUAAAUAUGGAUGUUAUAUUAACAGAUCACUGCUUCCUAUUUUUUAAGUAACAAAUAUUAUCUUUCAAACAAAUUUAUUUUUUUAGAAAUUUAUUUAAUUUAUUUUCUUUAUUUUUCAUUCCUAAAAAAUAGAAAAUGAUGGGUUGUUAUUAAAUUUUAGGGUGCCGCUAAUUUAUUUCUUUAAUUUUCUUAUACAUGAAAGAUUUUACUGUGUGUGAAUAAAUUAUUUCUAUGUAAAACAUACUUUACAUAUUUAUGAUAUAUUAUAUCAUAUACCAUAUACCAUAAAUAUAUAAAUAUGCUUAGUAUGUUUCUUUAUACUUUGUAUAUUUAUAUAUGUGUGUAUAUGGUAUAUACAUGGUAUAAACUUCAUAUAUAACAUACUUUGUAUAUUUAUGUUACAAAUAUGCUUAGUAUGUUUCUUAAUACUUUGUAUAUUUAUACAUAAGUGUAUAUGAUAUAUACAUGGUAUAAACUUUAUAUAUAACAUAUUUUGUAUAUUUCUGUUAUAAAUAUAAUACUUUAUAUAUUUAUGGGUAUAAAUAUAAUACUUUGUGUAUAAAGAUAUCAAGUAUUAUGGUAUAUAAAGGUAGCAAUUGCAGUUUAAGGUAUAAAUUUGUUAAAUUGAACAUAUUUUUUUUAUGAAAAAUAUGUAUCACCAAUUUAUAUUUUUAGCAUAUAUAUGGUAUAAACUAUUUAUAUUUGAAUAGUAUAAUAAAAAUGUACACAAUAUAAUAUAUAUAAUCAAAUUAAAAUGAGAAUAAUUUGUGGCAGUGGUAAACUAAUUUGCUACAACUUUAUUAAUUCCAUAAAUAUAGAAAAUGAUUAUCCAUUAUUAAUUACACGACUAUAAUUCUUUAAACGUCCGUAUCACAAUAGAAAAAUUAUUGUUAUUAUUAUAUUAUAGUAAUUAGGAUCAUUAGCAGUACAAUAAUGUCUUAAAUAAGGGAGAAAAAUAAUGAUGAGAGAGAAAAAAAGAUAGAUAUUAAUUAGGAUAGCAUUAAGUUUGAAAUUAUAAUUAUCUUAUUAUUUAAAAUUUCUAUAUACGUAAUAUUGAAAAAGUAAUAUUAUAAGAAGAGUUUUAUGUAAAAAUUUAAAAGAUUGGGGUUCUAUGUAAUAAUAAUAAAAGUUGGAAUUGGAGUUGAAAAAUUGUGAAAACACCAAAAACCUAUUUUCCCUUUUCAGAAAAAAAUUUCGGGAUUAUUUUCCAAAUUUUCAUGGCCAAACACCAUAAUUUCCAACUCCGGAAUUUUUUUUUGGAAAAAAGAGAAAAAUUUUCAUGGCCAAACGAGCCCUAAGUCUUCAGCUAUCGCUCAGUCAUGAGUUCGUUACAUGGAAGCUUAUCUAAUGUCAUUUAUAUUUCCUGUACGGUAUGCGAGUUAAUGCAUAGUGAGCAGGUCAUCAUAGAGUGCUCACCCGAAGGACGACAAAGCUAUGUAGAAAUUGUAGGAUUUCCCUUGGAAUAUGAAAGAAAAAUUCUUUUUUUUUAAACGACUUUUUUACUACAAUAAAAAAAAUCAUUUCUAAGGAGAAAUUAUGUGUUUUUGAAAUUUGAGUACACCAUGGUUAGAGCCUCCAAGGUUCCAAAUGAAUUAAACUUGAAUAAAUUGGAAAAAAAAGUUUUAAAAUCAUUUGGGUAAAGAAGUUUUAUUUACUUUGUUAACUAAAAUAUCUUCGCAACAUUUUAAAAUUAGCCAUAAAAAAUUAUAGAUAGUAAAUAAUAAGUAUUCAUUAAUUCAAUCUUAAUUAGAGAUCUUAAAUUUGAGUCAUCAAAAUAAAAUCUUAAAAAAUAUUUUACUCUCAAAUGAAAUUUCUCGACACAAAUCUGUAUUACACAAAACCUAAAGCUGUAGAUAUCGGACACCCUCUAAAACAAAGUAAAAUUAUUUGAUUAGUUGGGCAAAUAUUCAGUAUAUAAAAUCCAAAAUUUAGAAGUCUACUCCCUUCGUUUCAUAUUAAUUAUCAAGAUUAUUAAAAAUAUAUGUCCAAAUUUAUCUGUCAUUUUAUAAAAUUAAGAUGGAAUUAACAGAUUUUGUUUCAUUUUACCAUUAAUAUUAAAUGUUUUUAAAAUAAUAUUGAUUAGCUUAGUCUUGUCCUUUAAUAAAGUUCAAUUUAUUGGAGAGACAUAAAAGUAAAGUAGAAAUAAAAAAUACUCAAUCCGUUCUAAAUACUCGUCAUGUUUCAUUUCUUGAAAUUUAAUUUAAUUAAUCUUUGUAGCUAAGCUGAAUUAGAUUAAUAUAAUAUUUUAAAACUAAAAUAUAAAUAUUCAAAAUUUAUGUAAAAACAAUACUAAAAGAAUAUUAUUUUCCCAUUGAAAUUUCCCACAGAAAAAAAGUUAAGUGAUUAUUCACAUAAAUAUUUUAAUUGAAUCAAUGGAAAAAAAAAACUAGCAAUAUUUUCAUAUAUACGAAAUAAUUAGUACUAUUUCAAUGGAAAUCUGUUUCCCGCUAUAUGUUGAUUCAGUGAGAAAUUCAUAUUUUAUAACACACAUUUCUCAUAGAUUUGCGGUUAAAAAAUAUUUGUUUCUAAUAAUUAGUAUAAUUCCUUAUAAAUUCUAAUUCUUCUCAUAUUAAUUUGGUGAAAGAAUACAUUAUACUGUUGAUGCUUUGAAUUUCGAUAUAUAAGUAAAAGUAACAAAUAUUUUGAAAUGAAACAAGUAUUUUUUGGGAUAAUACCACGAAAAUAUCUGAACUUUAACCAAAUUUUCAGUAGAGCAUAUUGAACUUUGCGGGGGUCCUAUUACCCCUAUACUUUUUUAAUCGAAAUUAAUUCCCCCGAACUUUUUUAACGUGGAAUUAAUCCCCCCCCCCCCCCACCCCCCAACCGAACCAAAACGUAUACCCAGUUUUUUAGGUGGGAAGUGUGGUACACGUGCUUUGUCUUCUCUAUUUUAUCACUUUUCAACAUUUUUUCACCAUUACAACCAUAUUAAAGAUACCACAACUCAAAUUUAUCCUACAAAUCAAAUUUCAAAUAAUUUUAUUGAGUAAAUUUCAAAUUUCAAGUCCAUUUUUAUCACACAAGUUUCCAAAUUCAAUUUCUCGUUUCAAACUUUGAAUUCCGUUGAGUUUAAUAAAAAAAUUUCUUGUACAUUAAUUUUCUUGCACAUUGAAUUUAUAUGAAUUCACUUGAAUUCUAGUUUAUGACUUUAGGUAUAAAAAAACAUACAUUGAAUUUUCAAUAAUUGAAUGGAAUCUUCCAUUAAUUUUCUUCAUCCGGGUCCGCAAAAGUUUUCAAAUUCCAUUUCCAAAUUACGCCAACUCAAUUGAAUCUUCCAUUGAGUUUCAAAUUCCAAGUUCAUUCCAACUCAAAUUUCUUGAAAGUUUUCUUCAACAAACUUUUAAAACUUUCUUCAACAAACUUCCUUAAACUCAAAACCCCAAACUUUCUUCCAUUGAGUUUCCAAUUUCGAUGACGAAAUCUUCAAGAAUGGAAAUUGAAACGGAACGAAAUGGACUGCAACAAAGAGGAACAAGAAACUGAAACUCAAGAAUCAAGAAUCAAGAAGAAAGAAGAAAGAGAAUGAAUAAAUAAAUAAAAAUAUAAAAUUUUAAAUAAUUAUAACAUUAAGGGGCUGUUUGGCAAAAAAAAAAAAGUUUUAUAACGUUUUUAACACUGUUCACGCUCUCAAUGCGCGUGACUAACACGCAAUGUGCCAAGUGGCAAAUAUAUGCCAUUAAAAUACGAAAAAAAAAGUCUGAGGGUAAUAAGAUCCCCGCAAAAUUCAGUAUGCUCAACUGGUAAUCCGAUCAAACUUCAGGUAUUUUUUAUGAGUAUUCUCCCUAUUUUUUUUAAUUUUUAAUUUUUUCAAGAUACAUGCAAAAGAGAAAUGUGACAGGCAAUAUGAGUCCAAGGGAGUUAUAGUUAUCAUCUAACGUUUAUGCUAUUUUCACUAAAAGCCAACUCAAUAUCAGACUGAUCAACAAGUAGUUCUUGAACAAAUAUACAUAAAGGGGCAGGUUAAAGGAAAACUAUUACUAUAUAGGUACAACUUUGGUAUUUUCAUGUUAUAGUUUAGCUAAUAGUCUAUGUCACUGUUUCCAAGAGAAAUAUACAAAUAAUUGGUUGUUGCCAUGUCCAUGUAGGCCCAUAUACAUAGUUUUCCAUUAUUAGAUUUAAUAAGAUUUGAGAAUGCUUAGUAGAAGGGUUAAUUAAGAUCUGCAUUACUAUUAUUUUAAAACAAACACAGCUUCUUCCAUGCUCAACAAUUUUGGACAAUAAUGACAAUCUGUAGCUUGUUAAAAAAUUGUUGGUAUUUGACGUUGUACUAGCCGUAUAGUAUAGUAUUGUAGUCUUUGCUUACGAUAUCUAAUAGUUUAUUGUGUUUCAGUCGUUACACUAUUUUGUUAUUAUUAUUAUUAUCUUUUUUUAUAGACUUUGUAGUAUUGUUUACUUGUUAGUUGCUAUAUUUUAUUCACCAUUUUCAUAUUCUCUGUACCUGAAUUUACUGCACUUGAGCCGAGUUUUUUAUAAAAACAACCUGUAAGGUCAGCAUAUACUUUAUCCUUUCAAACCUCACUUAUAUUUCGUUGAGUAUGUUGUUGUUGCUGACAAUCUGUAGAUUAGUUUUGAAUACUAUAAUACUAGCUAUAUGCCUUACGGAGAUCUAUGUAUGAUCUAGCUAGAAAAAUUGUAUAUAAAAUUUGGAAAACAAAUAGAUUCUUUUUUUAAAUGGAAAUUAUAAAAUGCAAGUGCAGAUGGACCAAAAAAAGUAGUAUCAUAUUCGAUCUUAGAAAGCUUAUAGAAUUUUCAGGAGUAUUUAAUUGUGAAUUUGAUCUUAAGAUAUGAAUAUAUUUUUCAAUAAAGUUAUCAAUUUCUUAAAUAGAAUAAGAAUUAAGAUUGAACGUGUGUAUAUAUAUAUAUAUAUAUAUGAAUAUUGCUGAGGGCCUGAAGAGAGAGGCAUCCAAAGAUCACUAAGUGAACUACUGAUAUUUUGCAUAUAUCAAAGAAGAUAGGUUGAUCGAACCACAACCACAUAUCACUAUUUCAGAUGACGUAGAGAGACUGUUUUCGAUAAAUUUUCGGUCUAGAACAAAUAACAGUAUAACAAGAAAAAACAUAAAAACAAACAGUAAAAUGGGGUAACACACCACGAAUAAGAAACUACAAGACACAUACAUAACAUUAUGACUCCAGGUACAUCUACAAACAAAUCACUCCUCUCUACUAGUAAGGAUGCACUCUCAUACACUAACCCUACCCUAAUUCGCGUCGGCUACACUUCCUAUCAAGGGUCAUGUCCUCCAUAAGUUGUAAUUGCUCCAUGUCAUGCCUAAUCGCUUCUUUCCAAUAUUUUUUUGGCCUACCUCUACCUCAUCUAAAGCCAUCCAUAGUCAGUCACUCACACAUCCGUACUAAGGUAUCUGUAUACCUCAUCAUCAUCACGUGUCCGAAGAUAGAUUGAUCCAAAAUUUGAUUUAAAUUUAAUUCUCUCUUAUUUAUUUUUUGCUGAGAUCUGAUUAUUAAAGAAGGAACCUAGAGGAAAGUAUCAGCAGGUGUUUUAAAUUCCUCAAUUCAUGAAGAUCCAUUAUUAUUAUUUUUUGCUUAAACUGAAGAAAGAUCCAUUUUUAUUGAAUAAGGAUAAGAUAACAAAGAUAAUAUGAACGAUGUACUAUCUUAAAGAAAAUAAGAAUUCUUAUAAUCAAAGCAAUUAUCCAUUAUAAAGAUAAAGUGGCAGCCAAUGCAUGAGUAUCUAGUGAUCAAGAGUGUGAGUUGAGUAACAUAAGGUCUUAUAUUCAAUUUUCAAAUAAAGAGAAGCACUAGGUGAUUUUUUCCAUUUGUUCUAGCCUUGAUGGAUAAAGAAUUACCGGAUACCCGUUGCUAGGAAACUGACAGACUAAUAGAUAUCCCAUGAAUUUAGUUAAGACGCACGUAGGUAGAUUGGUUCGGACACCACAAUUUAUUAAAAAAUAAAGUGAUUGAGAUGAAGGGGAGAAGAUGAGUAGUGCUAGUCAAAAUCAACUCUUUUUAAAAGUAGAACGUUUACUAUUACUUGGUUGCCUAGCCCUUUUAAAAAUCACUAAUAAUAAUCAAUAGAUUAAGCACUAGGGCUUAAGUAUGUCAUUAUUGGAUUUGACUAUAGAUUAUCACCACAAAAAAAAUCAUCAAAGAUCCUAAUCUUUCUUUAUCAUGCAUGUCAUUUCCAUUAUCUUUUCCUUACCAGUAACAAAACAUUAGGUGCUAUUUCAGAUAUUUUGAGACUUUAAUUAAUCUCAAAGUAACUUCCUUACUUAUCUUAGUACAAAAAGAUAAAAGUGAAAGCAAACAACCAAUUAACUGUUUGGAUAUAUGGAGAUGAUGAGAUGAAUCCGAAAAUUUUGAGUCAGGAGUUGUGAUGGGACUGCUUCAUCCUUAACAAGAGGUUUCCGGUUCGAGUCCUCGAUAUAAAGAAUUCUGUUGGGAGCAUCACAUGGUCCCUACAGUGUGCAAUCCGAAUUAAUCGGAAUUCCAAUGCGGAUACCGACACCAUGUGAGAAACAAAAAAAAACUUCCAAUACAUUUAUUAUUUUUAUAUAAGCCAUGUGAACUUAGCACACAAACAUACCAUGUAUUUUUUUUUUUCAAAAUUGUAUCUUCAAUUCUAGUUGAAAAUAGCUGAUGUUACCUUACCUAUUAUGGUAAUAGUAGUGGAGUUAGAAUUUUUGCUAAUGGAGUUUAAAAUAAAAAAAAGUACGCGCACGAAUUAAUUGAAGAGGGUUCAACAUCAAGUACAUAUACAUAAAAAAUAUUCAGAUGAACCCCCUAAUCAUAAGGUAGCUCCGCCGUUGAUCAUAACAUAUACUUGUGUAUGAGAGUUGAUAUGAUUCAGGCGAAUUUAAUAACUUUUACUCAAAUAAUUUAUUUAUGCUAAGAAACUAAUAAGUAUAUGGAAAUAUUAAAGUUAAAAUUCAAUUAUUACUAUUUAAAGUUAUUAUUCUAAAAUUUGGAAUUCAUAAAAUUGAAAACCUCAAGUUAAAAUACUUGUCUAUGUGGUUACGUUCAUCACGUUAUAUACGACUCCCGAUGCAUGACAUAGAUAAAACGAAAAUAUUGCUCAAAACUAGUAGUAAUAUUUAUGUAGGAUCUUUAUAAUAUUGGAGGUCUAAUUAAAAGUUUUAAUUUUGAUUUUAACACAAAACGAGUAUAUUUGUAAUGAGCCAUUGUAAAUGAAAAUCCCAAACUUGUCGGUAAGCUUUAUUUGAAACUCAAAUUAUAUUUCGUGUGUGUUCUCAAGCGUCCACUUUAUAAUUAAGUUAAUCACAUAAUAUGUUUCUUUUUUGUACUUAUACACAUCAACAUCAAUUAGUACAUAUACCGUUCAUUAAGAUUAAUGCGUUUGAUUAAAGAAGGUGAUGUUUUAAAUAGAUGACUUAUGGUUCGCAAUGAGCAAACGAGAAAACGAGUACUAGUUUUUUCAAACUUUUAAAUUGAAAGUAUCCAAUAAAAAUAUUUUAUCAUGUGUUUCAUCAAAAGAAAAUCUCUAUAAUUUAAAUAUUUAACUAAAAUUUACUGACAAAUUUAAAACAAUCGGAAUGUGUUCAUCUUUUACGCCUCUUGCUGUCAGUGAAAGGACAGAUAUAAGAUUAACACUAACUAGUUUGAAACAAUGUUUAUCUGCUGAAUUUUCUUUUAAAUUAUAUUUUGAUGCAUGCCUAGGGAGCAAAAUCUUUUGCCAAAACAAGAGAUAAUCAUUCACCAAGGAGAAAAAUGGAUGGUCCCAAAUUGGUCAUACAUGUUCAUAUUCUAAUAUGACUGUUGUUUUUAUGUUCUUUAAAGAAAAAACAAACAAACUAAUCCUUUGGUUUUACUCUUUUUGUUUCUACUUUUCUCACUUUUGACAAUUGUAUCUAGCUAGUAUUGGUUGAUGAUACACUUUAAUUUUCACACUUGUGCUAUUUAUUUUCAACUGUAUAAAUAUACAACAAAUGGAAGACUAGAUAGCAAGAUGAGGCUUGUUUAAGUGGUUGAGUAUCUUUACCAUCAAUCGAUAGGUUGAGGUUUUGAGUCACGCUGAACGACAAGUGAAAACAUUAUUGAUCCUCUUAAAUUUAAAGGAAAAAGAAAAAGAAAGGGAGGAGAAACCAUAAAUUGUUGGAAAAAAAAGAAAAACAAUGGAGCUUACAUGUGCACCAUUUAAUUAACACCAUAUAUAGCAUCGGAGGGAUUCAGGAUUUGAAGUUCUAGAAUUACUAAAACAAUUUUUAAGUUAAUAUGCGAUAAUAGCUGAGUUUAUCAUCAAAUAUUAAUAAAAUAUAGUUUUAAGAUAUGUAGAAUUUUAACAAAAACUACGAAUUUGCAUAAUAUGCAUACAAUACUCUGUAUCUGCCGCUGGUUGUUCCUAAUAUAUAGCUUCUUUCGUGCCACAAUCUCAAAAAGCUUCUAUCCUUUAAUUUCAUUUUUGAACAAUACAAUAACUUUUAUAUUUAUAUUAGCUAGUUACAAAAGAAUUGUUAGGACAACAAAAGUUAUUCUAAUAUAACAUGUCAUUCAUACAACUUAAAUUGCUAAAAAUAUUAUGCUAUCACACGAGAAAUUUUAUUUUUUUGUCUCACAUUAUCAUAUAUUUUAGCACCCAAACUAAAUCAUAACAAGUCAAUGAAUAUUUUAAGUGAGCGUUUAACCAUGAAAACCAAAUAGUUUUGGAGAAAAGUGAGGGGAAAUAAUAUUUAUCUUGGAAAGAAAUUAACUUUAGCCAUAGGCAACUAUAGAGAGAGGUUACAAACUUUUUUUUUUUCCAUACUUGAUUCAUUUGUCAUUCAUCUUAAUCUAUAAAGUUUAUUUUAGCAUAUAAGAGAUUACAAUUUCGACCGAUUGAGUCGAACUACAAUCAACUUGAUUCUCAACUCUUGAGAUAUGUACGGGGGCUCAAUAUUGAAAACUCAAUUGUAUUCCAAGAAACCCCUGCUCAUAAUAUCUUUAGAAAUUCUUGAAAUCGUGCUUAAAUCAAUUUUGAACUUCACGUGACCUAAAUUCUUAUAUAAAUUUUGUUCAAGAUUAUUUUGAGUGAAUUAUUCUAAAAACACUAUCAAGAGGACCAACCUGAUUCCCGAGUCUCGGGAUAUGUACGGGGGCUCAGUAUUUAAAACUCAACUGUAUUCCAAGAAACUCCCUACUCAUCGUAUUCUCUCUGCUCCAUAUUUCGAUACUGAAAUAUCUUUUGAAAUUCUUGAAAUCAUGCUUAAAUCAAACAUUUUAAACUACAUGUGACCUAAAUUCUUAUACAACGUUUAUACAAAGGUUAUUAUGGAGUGAAUUUUUUUUCUAAAAAGGAAACCAAACUUCUCAAUUCUAAAGGAGACCAAUAUCAGCCCAACCCAAAAUUCCUUGACCCGAUCCAGCCCACAUACUUUAUACCCUAACCCUUUUUCUAGCUCAUGCCUAUAUUUUUCUCUGCCUAAAACCCUAGUCCCCUUUGCUAAACCCUUCUCUUUACAGCCUUCUUCCAUUCCAGAGAGAUGUUGGUAUUGUUUGAAACCCCUGCUGGCUUUGCCCUUUUCAAAGUUUUAGAUGAAGGAAAGCUCUCCAAAGUUGAGGUAUCUUAGCUUACCCAUUUCAUUUUUGCUGUAUUUUCUUGUUUCAUAAAGGGCAUGCCAUAUUGAAUCUUGUCUUUUUGUCUGCUGCAGGAUUUGUGGAAGGAGUUCUCCUCAACUGAUUCUGCAAGAAAGGUAAUUUUUUUUUUUUUUUUGGGUAAAAUUUAUUUAUUUUUAAUAAAUAAAUUGUGCUUAGUUGAUGGUGCGUGUGGGGUGGGGGUGGGGGGAAGUGUAAAGUUUUCAACUUUAUGUUUGAUACAUUCUUGAUAUAACAGGUUGUGAAGCUAAAAGCUUUCUCUAAGUUUGAGAACACUUCAGAAGCUCUGUCAGCAGCUACGCUGUUGAUAGAUAGCAAGCCAAGCAAAGGAUUGCGCAAGUUCUUGAAAGCGCAUUGUGAUGGCGAAACGUUGGGGGUUGCUGAUUCAAAGCUUGGAAAUGCAAUUAAGGAGAAAUUGGUUAGCUUCCCUUUUUAUGCUAGCUCAUUGUUUUUUGUUUUUGUAGUUUCUUGUUCUUCGAUUUCUGAUACUAUCUACUCCCUCCAUUUCAAAAAGAAUAACCUACUUUGAUUUGGUACAAAGUGUAAGAAAAUAAAGAAGACUUUUUAAUUUUGUGGCCUUAAAUUAAAGUAGUGUCAAAUGUACCAAAAUGCCCUUUAAUCUUGUGGUCAUAAACAUGCCAUGUCGAAAGUUGAAAUUAAAGUAUUGCUAAAAUAGGAAAGUGACCAUUCUUUUUUAAACGGACUAAAAAGGAAAGUAGGUAAUUCUUUUUGAAAUGGAGGGAGUAGUGUUUUGUGUAGUUUGAUUGUGGUAUUAUUUUGUUGUAGUAUUGUUCUGUGACUAUUUGUUGUUUUGGUCUUCCAUUACGUCUUUUUCUGGUCUGUUUUUUUCUUGAGCCGGGGGUCUCUAUCUCACCUCUGAGGUAAAGUUAAGGUCUAUGUACACUCUACUCUCUCGACUUUGUGGGAAUACACUGGGUGUUGUUGUUGUUGUUAUCAUUGUUUCUUUGUUUUGUUCUGUUUCUCAUCUUUUUUGGCUGAAGCUGGUGCCUUUUUUUUUUUUUUUUUUUUGCAGCAAAUCGAUUGUGUUCAUAAUAAUGCUGUCAUGGAGUUGAUGAGAGGGCUUAGAAGUCAGUUGACUGAGCUCAUUUCUGGUCUUGCAUCUCAAGACUUGGCUCCAAUGAGCUUGGGUUUAUCUCACAGUCUUUCAAGAUACAAGCUAAAGUUUAGCCCUGACAAGGUAAUUUGCUUUUAAAUUGACUGAUCCAUUUCAUGUUAAACAUGGUUUCGUUAUGGAUAUUCUUAUGUAACAAAUAUUGGGAUAAUCAAUUGCCACGGAGAAAAAGGAAGAAUAGUUUAGUGGAUAGUAGNNNNNNNNNNNNNNNNNNNNNNNNNNNNNNNNNNNNNNNNNNNNNNNNNNNNNNNNNNNNNNNNNNNNNNNNNNNNNNNNNNNNNNNNNNNNNNNNNNNNNNNNNNNNNNNNNNNNNNNNNNNNNNNNNNNNNNNNNNNNNNNNNNNNNNNNNNNNNNNNNNNNNNNNNNNNNNNNNNNNNNNNNNNNNNNNNNNNNNNNNNNNNNNNNNNNNNNNNNNNNNNNNNNNNNNNNNNNNNNNNNNNNNNNNNNNNNNNNNNNNNNNNNNNNNNNNNNNNNNNNNNNNNNNNNNNNNNNNNNNNNNNNNNNNNNNNNNNNNNNNNNNNNNNNNNNNNNNNNNNNNNNNNNNNNNNNNNNNNNNNNNNNNNNNNNNNNNNNNNNNNNACCCUCCUUCCCCAACAAUAAGGUUAGGGGUUCAAUCCACUGAGGAAACACUAGUGGAAAAGGACCAACCAUAACUCCUGGGUAAGGGAUUUGGGGCCGGUGACCUUAUAAAAGAUCAAUUGCUAAAGAACACUUUGGUUUUGUAUUCUCUGGUGACCUUGUAUCCUUUCUGCUAAAGAUGGUGUCGUAUUUGAGUUUGUAAUAUGUUAUUGGAUAAUAUUAUUCUAUACAAUUUCUGAUGAUGGUAGAUGGUCAUUAUUAAAAUUUUAGAUAGUGCAAAUUAUUUGAUUUUGCCCUGGAAAUUGUCAAUUCUGAUUCUUGAAGAUGAAUCGUAUUGUGUAACUGUAGCAGAAGGUCUAAGAGUAUAAAACUCUAAAUCUACAAAAAUAUGGAAUAAUGUUCUCCAUAAAGCAUUCUGAUGGUGAAACAUGUAGGCUGGCAUUCUCAUUGUUUACGCAGCCAAUUGUAUGCUUGUUCCAUAUGUAUCCCAUAUGAUGCUUCACAUGUAAUUUGAGUACACAGCUCUGUGGUUUCCUGAAAUCGGACCGUUUCUUGCCACUUGAGGUUAUGUAGCUAUAAUUCACUGAAUCCUUGGAAGGUCUGUUUAGCUUGUAGUGGUUAAGUCUAUAGUGCUUGGGCGAUGUUAUGUUUUACAGUCUUACCAUUUUCUGCCUCUUGGAGUUCUCUUUAUAGCUCAUAGAUAUGUCUCUGGGUAGCAGUUCUUUGUCCAAUUUUAUAUUCUUGACAGAUUUGUCUUUUCGCUAAGCAGACAGCAGUACAGCUGACUGUUUGUUGCUUUUACAGGUGGAUACAAUGAUUGUACAGGCCAUUGGCUUGUUGGAUGAUCUCGAUAAAGAGCUAAAUACAUAUGCCAUGAGGGUCCGAGAAUGGUAUGGUUGGCAUUUUCCAGAACUUGCAAAAAUUGUACAAGAUAACAUUCUUUAUGCCAAGGCUGUGAAAUUGAUGGGUGACCGUACAAAUGCUGCAAAGCUGGAUUUCUCUGAGGUAAGGAGUGGCUUCUUUUGAAAUGCUUCAAAUGAUUUGAACUUAAAAAGUAGAUUACUGCUUCAUCCUCAGUAAUACUCGUCAGUAUAUUGGCUAGCUUGCCGGUUGGUAUGAAGCUUGUGAUAUACUGUAGUCCAAUAAGCAAUGUUGUUUUUUACAGGAUACACGCUUUAUUCUGAAAUACAUAAGACAAAAUUCACGCCUUUUGUAUUACAAUGUUUACAGAUACUCCCAGAAGAGGUUGAGGCAGAAUUGAAAGAGGCAGCAAUGAUCUCCAUGGGCACUGAAAUUAGUGACCUUGAUCUGGAGAAUAUUAAAGAUUUAUGCAGCCAAGUUUUGUCAUUCUCCGAGUACAGAGCUCAGUUAUAUGAUUAUUUGAAGAGCAGGAUGAACACCAUCGCCCCAAAUCUUACGGCUCUUGUUGGAGAACUUGUUGGUGCUCGGCUUAUUGCUCAUGGUGGUAGCUUGUUAAAUCUUGCGAAGCAACCUGGAAGUACAGUUCAGAUACUUGGUGCUGAAAAGGCUCUUUUCAGAGCUUUGAAGACAAAACACGCAACUCCAAAAUAUGGGCUUAUUUAUCAUGCAUCUUUGAUUGGACAGGCAGCACCAAAACACAAGGGUAAAAUUUCAAGAUCUCUUGCUGCAAAAACUGCUUUGGCUAUUCGAUACGAUGCCCUUGCAGAUAGCCAAGAUAAUACCAUGGGUUUGGAGAAUCGGCUCAAGGUAACGUUGUUAAUUAUUAUCUUUGGAUGCUGCUCUCUAUCUAGUCUGAUUACUAUAAUGUGCAACUUUCUUAGCUUGAAGCACGCUUAAGAGCCUUAGAAGGCAAAGAGUUGAACAAAUCAGCUGGAUCUGCUAAGGGCAAACCUAAGAUUGAAUUUUAUGACAAGGAUCGUAAAAAAGGAGCGCUGAUAACACCAGCUAAGGUUUGGGACUGUCUUCUCUUUUACACUAUACUUUCUUGGUUUGCUUCUAGUAUUAACUUAUCCUUCUGUGUAGGUUUACAAUCCUUCUGCUGAUUCUGUCAUGGGACACACUGAUAAUGACGAGAAAAAAAUGAGUAUAGAUGAACAGCCAUCUCAAACCGAGGAAGAAGCAGGUGAGGAAGCCCCCGUUACUGAAGGAGAGAAGAAAAAGAAUAAGAAGAAGAAAUCUGUUGAGACAGAAGAUGGUGCCGAACCUGAAGACACUCCGAAGAAGAAGAAGAAAAAGAAGAAACAUGCAGAUAAUGAAGUGGACGAAGAUGUUGAAACGGAAAAAAGCAAGAAAAAGAAGAAGAGGAAACAUGCUGAUGCCGAUGAGGAUGAAACAGAAACCACUGAUAAAAAGAAAGAGAAAAAGAAGAAGAAGAAGAAAACUGAAGAGUAAGUCUCUCAGAGGAGACAUUUUUAGUAUCGACAAUUUUGGUAUCGGGCAGUGGGUGACUGCAUGUUUUUAAGUUGUACAACGCUAUGUCAUUAUUCAGUUGUAUUAGUGCUUUGUAAUGCAACCUAGGAUUCUGUUAGUUAAACAGAACAACAGAUAUGCUUGCUUUAUGCUUUUAAUCCUACUUUGGAAUUUAUUUGCUAUGCUAUUUUACAUGGUUCAAGUUAAUGGUGCGCCAACUGCGUUUUUGGUGAAGUGCCAAGAUUAGAUUGCCUUAUUUCUGUCGUGUUCGUGUUUAUGGAAAAUUGCUCUUCACUACUAUUGCCUUAAGAAGUGUUGCUAAUGUCUGCAGUCUCCAUGACACUACUUUUAACACAAUACACAAGUAUACUUUCUUUGUUGCAGGGUUAGUUUCUGGCCUUUUUUCUCAACCAUUACCUUGUGAGGAAACUGAUGAUUUUGAUUAAAAUCACCCACAAAUGGUCACUUCUAAUGGAUCUGUUGCUAGUUUGUACUGGAUCAAUGGAGAGUUUCAUAGGAAAUUGCAGGAGAGAAAUUAGAGGCAGAUUCUUUUGAUAUGGAACUAUUUUGUUAUUGGAAUUAACUCUAUCUGUAAGGGCUCGUUCAUUUGGUUGGGGAACAAUUUAUCUUAGGUUUGUUAUCCCAACCUUGAAAUUACCUAAGCAGCCAAACAUCCUUAGCAUAUCUACUUAUUUUCUCACUUACUUAAAUUAAUAACAUAACAUCAACUUCUUGACAACUCCCCGACCCCGAUACACGAGGAUAUAUGCGACUUAACCUUAACCCCGGAUACAUGCGCAUGUCUCAGUUACAUGAUGCGACUGAAUCAUGUAUCCGACUUCUUUUCCAUGAUAUAAUAUGUAAUAUUGAAAACUAGUGGUCGAGGGAGUAAUUAACUCACGAGGAUAUAUGCGACUUAACCUCCUUAACCCCGGAUACAUGCGCAUGUCUGAGUUACAUGAAUCUGCUGCGACUGAAUCAUGUAUCCGACUUCUUUUCCAUGAUAUAAAACUAGUGGUCGAGGGAGUAAUUAACACAUUUACUAGUGACUUUUUAUGUUGUUUACCUUAAUCUAUUACAUAGAGCCCGUUUGGGUAUGAUUAAAAAAAUAGCUUUUCACCUUAAGCGAUUAAAAGCUUAAAAUAAGUGCUUAUAAAUUAAGCAUAUAAGUGUUUGGAUAGAAGUGCUGAAACUGCAAAAAAAUUGUUGAUGUGUUUGGUAAACAAGUGAUGUUAAGUACUUUUUUGUUGUUAAAAUGACUUAAAUGUCCUUAAAAUUGUUAACACCAUAAAUAAGGUAAUUAUUUAUAAUUUUUAAUCCUAAAAUAAUUUUUUAAAAUAAACCUCCGAUGUAAUGAUGGAUUCGAUGAAAACAAAGAAAAAAGAUGCAGAGGAAAUUAGAGGGAAGAGAUAAAACGAAGCGCCAAAGAGAAAAAAGAAAAGAAAAAACUAUAGAUUUAAAGGCUAUAAUUUUAGGAUAUUAUUGAAAUUGGAGGAAAAUAUAAGGAAUAAAAAGGUAAAUGUUUUCGUCAAACCUAAAAGAAUUUUAAUCUAAAAAGCUGGGGGUAUCCAGCUUCUCACUUUUUGAUAUUUUUAAUCAGUUUUUAGCUUUUUUUAAUCAUUUUUUAAUUUUACCAAACACCUUAAAAAGUUAAAAAAGAGAUUAAAAGCUGAUUUGAUCAGAUUUUAAUCCUAUCCAAAUGUAUUUAUAAUCUUUUUUAUUAAUUAUAGUACAGCUUUUACUUUUAAGGUUUGUCUGGUGUCAGGGAGAAUGGGUAACUAAUUCCGAAAUUAAUUUGAGUAUACUUUAUCCCUGUUGGAAUAGAAUAGCAAAACAAUUUUAGGUUAAAUCAGAGCAAUAUCGGUCCACCCAAAAAUUCCUUGACCCGACCCGACCCAGCCCACAUCCCCUUUCCCUUCUCACUCGAAAAAAGGGCAUAAAAAAGCUCCACACAUCAAAGUUGUCAUCCUCUUGUUCCUCUCAGUUUUAUCAGAUUUUCAGUUAAUCAGUAGAAGUUUUCAAAGGAUGUCGUCAAUUGGAACAUCAAAAGGUGUAUUAGAGAUAGUAAAAUUUGCAGUAUAUGUAUCAGUUCCAAUUGGUCUCAUGUACUUGUUUGCCAACAACAACUCCAAUCUUCAGAAAAUCAUGGGACAUGUAAAUUUCUCCUCUCUUUCCUUUGUCUUUUCAUUUAAACUGUAAAGUUUCAUUCUUUAUGCUUAUAUUUUUUUUUUUUUAGCUUUCUUGCGGUUUACUUUUGGAAAAAUUACGUGAAGUAGAAAAUAUACCGACCUAAUUACAUAGGGUAGCUAAUACAACAACAAAAAUAUACUCAGUGUAUUACCACAAAGCGGGGUCUGGAGAGGGUAAAGUGUACACAGUCCAUGCCAGAGAGGCUGUUUUUGAUAGAUACUUGGCUUACGACAGGUAACAGUAUAACAAAUAAAAAACAUAAAAAUAAACAAUAAAAUGGGAUAAUACACCGCUAGAUAAUAAAAGAAACAAGAUACCGAUAGAUUAAUACUAUAAAUUAUUUAUUCAAGAUCACAAGCAUCAUCAGAACACUCCGAACAAGAAACUACAGGUACAUAUACAAACAAAACACUCUUCCCUGUUAUUAUGGAUGCACUCCUACCCACUAACCCUCUGCCUUAAUUCGUGUCCUGCACACCUUCCUAUCAAGUGUCAUGUCCUCCGUAAGUUGUAACUGCUCCAUGUCAUGCCUGAUCAACUCCCUCCAAUAUUUAUUCGGCCUACCUCUACCCCACAUAAAAUCAUCCAUAGCCAGCCUCUCAUACCUCCAUACUGAAGCAUGCGUGCACCUCCUCAUCAUAUGUCCGAACCAUCACAAUCUCACUUCCUGCAUCUUGUCUUCCAUCGAAGCCACUCCCAUCUUCUCUCGAAUAACAUCAUUUCUAACCCUAUCUCUCCUGGUAAGUAACAUAGCUAAGGUUUAAAUUAAAUAGCUAAAUAUACCCUUUUUUGUAUUUGUAUAUUUAAGAGAAUUUCGGAGCUCAUAUAUGUUUGUAUUUGUAAAUUUAACGGAAUUUCAGGGCUCAUUUACGUUUCUAGCCUAAAGUAGCUACUGAACUAGAGCAACGUUUUGUAAUUACACGAAGAUUAGCUAUGCCACCUCAUUUAUUGCCUAAAUGUUAGCUAUUUCUGAAAUUUCACCUUGAUUUUUCGGCUUGUGUCAAAUUUCUUGAAUUCCUCCCAUUUCAUAUUAGUUGUCCGCUUUCCCUUUAUAGGCUUCUUUAGAAACCAUAAAUAAGAUGGUUAGUUUUAUUAAUUUAUCCUUAAUCCUCUUCAUUGGAAAAGUAAUUUUUUGGAACUUAUAAACCGGUUUAGGCCCUCAAAAAUACUAAUUGUAGGGGCAAAAUGCGAAAAUUUUAAUUAAUUUUGUCUUGAUUUGGUAAAUGGACAAAUAAUUUGGGACAACUAUUUAUACUUUGGGACAACUAUUUAUAGUAAGGUAGACAGCUACUCUGGGAUGGAGGGACUACCCUUUUUGAAUUCAAGGUUUGUUGUCUGAUUGACAUGUCUACUUUGAUUGUGUUGGUGAUUUGUGAAAAUGUAUAUAUGGAGAAAUUGUUGGAGGUGGAGUUAAUAGAAAGUUAAUAAUUCAAUCCCUUAUACUUUUUUUUUUGAUAAAGAGAAUAUGAAUGAAAUUGUCCCGAAUAGAGCAGAAUAGAUACAUAUGAUUUGUAUAACUGAUCCAAACUAGAUUGGUGUUGAGCUUAGUUGACUGAUUGAUUGAAUAGAAUCAGAGGAAUGAAAACAGUGCUUUCAGAUAGGUGUGUUUUAUUUUUCAUAAAGAAGGAAUUGGGAGGUGGGGGAAGGGAGUUCAAACAGAAAAGUCGCCGUGCAUCAGUUAAGUAAAGUAUGGUGAACUCUUGGAUGUUUGCUAACAGUUGAAGAUUACAUAAGGUGGAACGUUUUGCAUAAUCCGCACUUAGUACUUCUGUAAAUGUGUGGCAAUGUGAUAGUGCAAAAUGGGGAGAAAGGUGGAUGAAUACCCUGGUAGUGCAGAACCUUUUUUGAUAGAAGUGUGUCAUUAUUCACUUUUAGAAAACCAACACUAAGCUAAUGUUGGCAUCACGAAAGGGGAACGGCCCUUGUACAAGAGUAAAUAUUAUUAACGCAGAAUUGAGUGAUGAAAAAACUGUAAAAUAGAGUAGGGAAGGAUAUAUCUUCUUGUCCUAAUUUAUGUGAUGCACUUUCCUUUUACUCUGUCGCAAAAAGUAUGACACUUUCUAUAUCUAUCCUAGACACUUUAGGUUCUUGUUAGGAUGGUAGGCUUGUUUUGCUUUCUUUUGCUCACAUGUAUAUAUGGUUUCAGUACAACCUAUGUACUGAUUUGUGCUUGAUACACCUUCUAAAAAAAAAAGAAGUAUGACACCUUAGACUAUUGAUUUUUUUUUUUUUAAUAACCGUGGUGCCUCGACUAAUUUCACGGGAUACCUCCCACCAGCAACAGUAACCAGGUAACUCUGUCCACCAAGGCUAGAAUAGAUAGGAACAAAUCACCUAGUGUUUUUUCUGUUAGAAAUUGAACCUGAGAUCUCAUAGUACUCAGCCCCACUUCAUUGAACCACUAGGCCACACCCUUGGGUGCACCGUAGUCUAUUAUAAAUAAAUUAUAUCUUUCUCUAUCUAGAUACAAUUUAACUGAGUGGUUUAUAACCACACAAAAAUCUAUGGCUUGUUAAGACCACAAGUUUCAAUGGUCUUUAUCUCUUCCUUAAACUUUGUGCCCAAUCAAACAAUGUCAUAAGAGAGGGUGAAAGAGCAACAAAGAGUAGAGAAUAUGGCAUGCUGUUGAAAAUUAAAUAGCAAUAAGAUAACAAAGAAGAUGAGUAGAAUUGUGGCAAAGAGACUUGUUGAUCCAUAGCAUAUUCGAUUUGGAUAGACUAUCAUAUUCGUGGAGAUUCUAAGGCUCAUAGGAAGGCUUUCCUAUGUAUUAGGCUAUUAACAUAUCUAUACAGUUCAACACAUGAAAUGUGUGUCUGAGAUCCUGGGCGGAAAAAGUUCGCUUAAAUGUUUUUCUCUAGGUUUCCACUGGUUAAAUGGAAAUGAAAGGUAUACACAGGAACUUAUCAUUUAAUUUAAUGGAGAUGAGUUAUCUUACCUUCCCAUUCCUUUCUUCCAUGAAGCCAUUAUCACUUCUAAAGAGGCCUCUGGAAGUAUAACUUUGCUAAGGAUACUAAUCAUGCAACUUGCCUGAUGCCUCAAAUGUGAGAAGUCCUGUCAAAGUAUUUACUUCUAGUUGUGAAGCGACGAUGGUUACAAUAUCAAGAUGCCCAGAAAUUAUGAGGGUGAAAGAUGAUCAUUUGUUCAUAAUAUCUUCUACUAUUAUUUCAUCGUACCUCAUUGAAAAAUAUUCUAAUUUACUUAUCAGAAGAAUAUAUAUAUAUAUAUAUAUAUAUAUAUAUUCUAAUUUGUCGAAGACAUAGUAGCAUUAUGACGAUUUAUUCAGACGUAUAAUUAUGGUGUCAAACUGAUGAUGCAGCCUAUCUUUAGUGCUUCCAAAUUCCCUUUUUUGGAAUAUUUUCUUCCAAAUUGAUGAUGCAUUCAUAAACCUUCUUGCAUUUUCCAGUCUUAGGCUGGUUUAUAGGUUACCUAUUUUAUCUGAAUCUUUCGCUAGGUAUGUUCUUCAGGGUGCUAAUGACAAAUGUUUUCCCUUCAGCUGCCUUUAAUAGGCUAAUAGGCUUUUAUUUCAGGUUUUAAUUUGUGUUCAUUACUUCUUUGAAGUUAUUAGUUACUAUAAGCCCGCGUUCAUAUUGAACUCAUUCACACAAUGAUCAUCUCCAAAUGAUAUGUAAUAUCUGAAUGAAUUUAUGCCCUGGCUGGUUUUUGCAACUUUUUUCUACAUGGUUCCAGUAGAUAUCUUCGGCAUGCAAAAUGAUAUAUUGAUCUAAACCUUCCAUGUUUUUCCCUUGUGAAGCGUGAAUAUGUAGUUUAUCCGACAGAAACUGUAAAGCCCCAAUCACCCGAGGAACUGAGGGAGAUUGCAAAAGAAAUAGCUCGGAAGAGAGAGAGGGACCAAGCAAUGCGGAGCUGAGGAAGAUGGCACAAGACGAAGAGGCAUAUAAGAAUUUGUAGGUCUGUUAGUAAUGCUUGCACAAAGAAACAGCCAGAGAGGUCCUUUCUGUUCAGCCAAGAGAUGAGUGUGCUUUGCUAGUCUGUUCACCAAUAAGUGAGUUUGUUGCCAAUAAAACAGUGUGGCAUGGCCAGUGAUUGUAUACUGCCAUUUCCGUGUUUGAUGUAUCUUCCUUUUAAUACAGAUUAAAGUAUAUAAUAAACAUGGCAUCGUUUGAAGUAUUAGCUAUCCCUCCCAUUUCCUUCAUUGAGGAUUGAUUGUUUGUAUGGAGAAGACACUUAUCUAUUGUGUUCUGUAGUUUUCAUGACAUUAUAAGCACCAUGAGGAUUGAUUCCUUUGCUAUUAUGUGAUUUGACCAUGGUGUUUGAGGCCUGGUCAGAAUUGGGUUUGGUUAAUUAACUCUUAGAUGUUGAAAGGUUCAGUGUGUCCCCUUCUUUAAUAUUGACUAGACACGAUUCAAGUCAAGGUCUGUAUUGUUCGCUAUUAAGAGUCGUUUAGUACAUGAGAUAAGAAAAAUAACUUCGAUAUAAAAUUUGAGAUCAACUGUAUUUCAUGUUUGGUUUGAGAUAUUAAUUAAUUCCAGAUGAUUCGUAUAAAGUGUGGGAUGAAAUAAUCUCAUGGUAUAUCCUUAAUUUAUCCUACGCGCUUUACACAAUUAUGCAUGGGUUCCAUAAAUGAAAAUUUCAGCAAACUCUUUUUCCAUUUGAAACCUCCUUUUUUUUGUCUUUUCAUCUCGAAGAAUUGGUCACUUUCAGAAAUUAAAAUUUGCUAACAUAAAGAUAUUUAUGGAAGAACUCAUGUUACCCUUUCAUUCUUAAAAAGAGAAAAUAUCCGUGUCUAUACUCUAGCAUAUGGAAGAAUAGAAGUGGGAAAAAAAUUUCAAUUUGUGUCAGCUAUCAAAAAUAAUCUCUUUACUUUUGCAAGUUAAGACUGCGUACUCACCACAUUAUACAUAACCAGCUUGCAACAUUACACUUAAUAUGUUAUUAUUGUAGACAAAACUGUUUUUGAAAAGAAAAAGAGGUGAAAAAAAGCCCAUCCAUGACCAUGAGGAAUACAAUUUCAAUAGAGGUAGUCAAAUUGAACUGUCAAUAUAUUAUAGCAUGUUUUUUCCAAGAAAAUGAGAUGUAGAAUUUAUUUUGUUGUGUUAUUUUCUUGGUAUCCAUUGACUUGCAGAGUCAAUGAGUCUUUUCUAUUAUAAUUAUAAUGAUGAGUCUUUUCUUAACAAAUGAAAAUUCUGGUCAUCAUGAGAAUUUCCUUGAAGCUUGGAAUAGCAGAAAAAACAGGUUACUUCUUCUUUUUCCUUUUUUUGUAGUUAAAUUUUUUGAGAAUUUUUGGAGUAAAUUGAUUUGCAAAUUCUGUUGAUGCUCGAGUAAUGGGAUUCUUCAUUCUUGCUUUCAAUUAUCAAAAAAGGUGAAUUUUCUCUGUGUUUUGUAUUUACUUGCUUGAGUACAUAAUUUUUGAGGUUUCAACUCUUAGGUGUGAGCCAGCCUUAGUAGUGAGACUAUAGUUGUUAGUUAUGUUGCUCGGAUCCAACACACACUCGAUGGUAUUUUUGAAGAGUCGGAGCAACAUAGGUUGUCAAAAUAUUGCUAUCCUUCUUUCAGUCAUACAUAGUUGUUACAAUUUUGCUUCAUUUCAAGGUGUAUAAUUUGCAUUUUGCAAUCACUCAGCUCUUAGCUCUUCUUGAAAGAAUAAAAAUCCAUUUUUUCACCCGUCUCUAGGAACUCCCAUCCUUUUUGCUUCUUGACUCGAACCCACAAUCAUAGGGUUGGAGGUGAAGGGAGCUUACCAUUCGAGCUACUCCCAACUUGGUACACAAUUGUAGAAACGACUUAGCUUUUCUAGCUCUUGUUUAUUUUAUAUGCAAGUAUCAAACUUUCAC